UAUAUGCAGGAACCACAGGAAGAAAAUAAUUAAAAUUGCAGUUACCUUUAUAAUUUCAAGCGUUCUAAUUAACUUUUGUGGCUUCUUCUGUUUAUAGGUCGUAUUUUAGGCCAAAUCUAUGUAAAGUGUUUGGUGUCUUACUUGCAAGACACGAGUCCUAAGGUCCUAAGGGAGCCUAUAACUGUACCUCAAAUAUGAAGAUGGUAGCUAGAGUUUCUUACAAUUAAAAAUCUUGAAAUUUUAACAAAAUGACAAUAGUCCGAAAUUAGUUACCUCUCCAUCAGAUCCUAAUACAAUUGUGUGAUAUUUUGCAGCAGAAACUCUGGCCAAAGUCUUUCCCUUCAAGGAUUCAACCACAUGUGGGGUGUAAUUAGAUGCUGAGUUUGAGGUGCCAUAACCAAGCUGACCCUCCCUGUUACAACCCCAAGUAAAGACUUCACCUAAAUCAGAAACUACAGCCGUGUGUUUAUUUGCUGCAGCAACAGCAACAAUUUUUGACCUCAAAGAAGAUACUCUACGAGGUGUGGGUUGUGUAUCAACAGAAGGGUACCCAAGCUGUCCCUCUACACAACAAUGAAACAAGAAAACACAUGUCAAUUAUGUCUUUCUCAUAUUUCACACUGCAGAACAAAGAAUAAAGAAAGACUAAUUCUUUCUCAGUUACACAGUGUUGAUUUGUAGAAAAUCACAAGUACACUUUAUAAAACAAAAGGAGGGAUGAGGGGAAAAGACCAUUUUGAUGCAGUCCAGUAAAGUAGUUUACUUUACACAGUAACAACACACAAGACUUAACUUAUAUAAGCAUGAAUAUCAUCAAGUUUUACCUCUAUUGGAUCCCCAAGUGAACACUUCCCCGCCCUGAGUAGCAAUAACCGUAUGAUGCUUAGCUGCAGCAAUUGCCAUCACUCUACGGGAACCCAGACCAGAAGUCACUUGGCGGGGAGUGAUGACAGCAGCUUGACCACUGCAAUGAGUAUAACAAUAUAAACUCUGAUUGAAAAUUGUCCAAAAGCAUGAACAGAACAAUGACAUACCCCCUCUCCAUCCCUCAUCCAUAAAAGGUUCAAAAAAGCAUGUAACUAUUUGCAAAAACAAUAGCUAGCAGUAAAACUGGAAUAAGUUCCCAUUUACUUCUGCUGUGAAAUUUCUAAUAUAACAAGUUAGCAAAAUGAAAACAAGGCAGCCUUUUAGUAAUAAUCAAUAAAAACUGGGGAAAAAAGUGAACACAACUUUUUUCAAAUCAAAUGGCCCUCAAAGAACUCAACAUUAUUAAGGAACUUACUCAACCAACUUCUUUUUAUUCAAUGUUCAUAAUCAAUAAAUAGUGACCAAUACACACAAAAAGCAUGUUCGUCUAGAUUCACACUAAAACAAACCACAUACCUGUGUAUAUCAAAAUCAGGAUGCCCUAGACGGCCACCCCUUCCAAAUCCCCAAGUAUACACUUCUCCACGAGCAGUGAGCGCCACACUAUGGAACUUCCCUGCAGAAAUGAGCUUUAUGAAUGAACCACCAAGUGAAUCAACUUUGCAUGGUAACUUCUGAAUAUGCGCAUUUCCAGUUCCAAGCUGAUAAUUUGCACCACUGCCCCAGCUAAAGACCUCAGUUGCCACUAAAUAAAGAUACAAUAAAAUCAGACUGUCAUCCUAUAUGAUCACUUUAAUGGUGACAACAAUCUAAAGCAGUCAAAAAACAACAAUCUAUACCUGAACUUUGUUCAUUUCCAAGAGCCUGAAAUACAGAGCCAGAUAAGAGAUCUACAGGUAUUCGAGAUUUAGAGUCCUCCAAUGUAAUAGAGGCACCAUGCUGAAGAAGGAUGCUUGCUGCAGCAAGAUGACCAAAAUGCAGAGCCCUGUGAAGGCUACUCCAUCCUGAUUCUCCAUCCUAAAAACAACACAAGUUUUUUAAUUAAUGGAUUCAGAGAGAUAAAGCCAUAGUUAAGGGAAGGAACAUCAGCAAUUCAUUCCAAUCCUAAGCAGCCACUCUCCACUCAUUGGGAUAAGUAAAACUGAGAUGGUUUAUCCUUAUACAGUAUACGUUGUGGAUUACACACCAUAAAAUAAUAAAGAACCUCAAUUACAAGAAAGCAAUCUCAGAAGGACAUUUCAUUUCCUUACAAGUUAGGUUUCUUUCAGUCCCUAAGUUUUGCAGCUCAAAAAAUCAAUUAGACAUCCAUCACAAUAAUGCCAUACAAUACAAGUUAAACAUUAGAAAACUCUAAAUAGAACUACCUUCGUAGGAAAAUUUAAAGUCAUGUUAAAUUAUAUAGACAUUUUUACAUUUUCUGAAUUCAAUUAAGAGAUCAUUUUAGUAGUUUAACAAUCAACUAACCACCAUUCACUUUUUGAUGUGCAGGGGUGAUUCUAUAACAGAGAAUUACCAACACAAGGUAUAACAGAGAAACAAUUGCACUGUAUGGUCUUGACUCUUUAGAACAAAAUAUGAAGGAAGUAGCAGAAUCAAUGUUAUAAAAAGGGUAAGCAAAUAGAUGCCAAACUUGAUAACUAGAAAAUGCUGAAAAGAGAAAUUAUCUUACCCGGGCAUCAGGAUCUGCACCAGCUGCAAGAAGCCUCCUUACAAUGGGAAUAUGGUUUCUCCAACUUGCAAUAUGAAGAGGAGUCAACCCAAAGGUGUUCCUCAGAUUAAUAUUUCCCCCACUCUUCUUCAAUGAUGCCAAGGCCAACUCUACAUCAUUUAGAGAUCCUUCUCGCACAACAAGCCACAAAUCCUUCUGGGAUCCAACACAUAAUAUUUUGCGGCCUGUUAUAUGCAAAUUCUGCUUUUGUAUUUGAAGGGAAAGGGCUACUUCCAUCACUACCAAAUGUGAUUAGUUAUCUUUGACAAUAUUAUAUCAUAGAUCAGAAAGAUGACUCCAACGGCUCAGCACUUAUAUUCCGCUCAUCCACCACCUGAUAUGUCAAGAGCUGGAUUCUCGAAAACUACUUCAUCUCCAGAAUACACUGGAACAUCCAACAAAAAUAGUCCUGAACCCAGUCCACCAGUCGAUUUUCACAAAUCCAUGGUAAUGUAAAAUAGUAACCAAAAUAUCAGCUAGAGAUAUCCAAUUAUAAGAUGAAUUGGCUCUUUUUAAUCUAUCACUAACAUCAACAUCAUUGCAGCCACCGUCUUUACUGUACUCUCAGCUAGCAGCAACCAUUGAUAAAGCCCAGUAUGGUUCACAUGCUACACGGAAAUCUGCCAUAAAUAGAAACACUAAUAAUGUAAUUCGUCUAUUGGCAAGACAAACGCUACAGGAAAACACUAAUUUUUUAGGAAAAAAGACAUAAGCAUGCACAAGCAAGUAAAGUCCCUUGGAACAGACAAGUAAAGUCUCAGUAUACAAGCAGCUAAGAACAAACAAAAGACAUAUUGAACAACUAAAUUGAUCCUUUGAAGGAAAAAAAAAGCAUAGAGCAAAAUGUACUAUAAACGUAACUUCACAACAAAAUUACAUCAACACAACAAAAUAAAAAUUGAAACCAUUUUUCUACAAAUACAAAAUCCACUGGCCCAGUAAUUCACAAAAUUAAAAACCAUCAUCCUGAUUAUUAUAAUUCAAACACAAAUCAUGAGACAAUGAUGCAACCCCCUUAUAAACCUAACUUCUUUGGAAAAACGCUACACACAUACUUGUAAAACUGUAGAUCUCUCUUCUAACUGCAUAUACCUGUGGAACCUGACUUGUGGGGUUCCCAUUUUCUAUAAGUCUUCGUGUGAUGCACCUAGGCUCCUUUCACGACUCUUUUUCUCUGCGAUCUUCUUUUUCUUACUGCAUUUCUCCCUUUCUGUUCUCGGUGUUCUUAUUUCUUCCCUGUCAAAAACAAGUAAGAAUGAAAAACCAAAUGCCAUGAAUCUUCAUUCAAGAUAAGCUUCACAAUUGAUCCGUGCACUCAGAACCCAAUUCAUCACUCUCCCACCCAACCACCAUUUCCAUAGUCUAUAUUAGUCCCAAACACUGAAUCAGGAAAUGACAACAACCUCAAAAGAAACACCAUCAAGCAGCACAUCUCGAAAAUCAUAACAAGAGCAAAAUCCAACCUUUCAACAGAAAUCACAGGCCCAAAAUUAUCUCAACAGCAAUGUAACACCAACCCACACAAAACAUUUCGCUGGAUCGUCCCACCAUACCCAGAAAAUCAUUUUACACAAAAAAAAAAUGAAAAAUUGAAGAAACCCAGAUGGCGAAAAAUCAAGUAAAGUGAUACCAGAAUCAGAAGUGAAGAAAAAUGGUAAAAGAAUGGAAAGGUUACCUUACCUUACCCGAUGACGUGGAGAGAAACAAACCCAGAACUCAGCAAGGAAUAAUUAAAGAGAAGUACGUCACAAUAGUUAAGCUGAAAGAACUAUAAAUGGUGAUGAUUUUCGUUUCCAAAGAGUAUCGAAACCCAGAAUAUACCCUCUCUCUCUCUCACACACACACACACACAAACCGUGAGACCAAAAAAAUGGCAUAAUAAAAAUAAACUAUUUUUCUUUCGUUACAAAAUUUGUAUGAAGAGAGAGAAGACAUUGAGAAAGGGAGAAGAAGCGGUCCCAUCCAUGACGGGUAAAUUGGGAAUUUCAGAGGGCCUUUGUUUGGACAAAAACACCCCUGACUUGCGAGACUUUGAUUCCAACGACGACGUCUGGUCUGGGGACUAGGUUGUUGUGGCUUCUCCAAACACUCAAUUUUUUUUCCGCAAAACAAGUGUUUCAAAAUCACACGUGGCAGAUUUCUUAUCUGACGCGUGGUUAGAAAACCUGAGCUGUAGGACCAAACAAGAAAAAAAAAUUAUUUUUUAUUUUUCAUACACAUAGACAUGCAUGCUUUGAUUAUACCAAUUUAAAUUAAACAUAUAUUCGCCAGAGUUGAUUUCAAAAUAAAUUAUCAUAUAAUAAAAUAGUAUAUGAUUUUAUAGUAAUUAAUUUAAAAUCAUUUAUAAUUAAUUGAAAAUUUAAAAAUUAUACAAAUUAAUUAUUGUAUUAGCCGAAAAUAUUUUAGACAAAGUGUUUUGUGUGAUUUCUGAAGUGAUGAGCUUUUAUAUGCUUUUAGAGUAUGUUUUAGACAAAUUAUUUGUAUUAAUUUACAAAUAUUAAUAUAAAUUAUAAUAUUAUUAUAUGUUUGCAUCGUUCAAAUACCUCAACACAAUAAAAGUAAAAAAUUCAACCUAUUUUCUAUUUUAAUUUUUAAUUGAAAAAAGAUACGCACAGUCAGCUUGAGAUAAUAACAUGUCGUGUCUUACCAGCUUUACCCUCCCUAAUCAAAAUGUAUAAUAGUUUUACAAAAAUAAUUUAAUAUAAAUGAUUAAUUAACAUUACCCUUAAAUAAAUAUUGAAAAAUAUCUGUUAGGAAAAAAUCUAUUUAUGGUAUUAAAUUAUAGAACAGUUAAAUAUUAUUUUUAGCAUUUAGUUCUUAUUUUACUAUUUCAGUUUACUGGAGCAUUAGUUAACACAUAACAUCAUAGCAAAAAUUAUUAAUAAACAAUUUAUAAUUCAAUAGGUUGGUGUAUUAGUUAAGCGAAAUGUACUUAUAACAAAAAUCAUAGUUAAAAUUGCUAACGAAUUAGUCUCUGUUAAAGAAAAAUUGUGAUAAAAUAAAAAAAGAUUAACUAAUGUUUUAAAUAUAUUUAUUAUCAAUUUCCUUAAAUAAAUGGAAAGAAUAUUCUGAAGUAGAUUCUAAAAAUGCAGAGGAGAUGUUUCUGUUUUAAAAUAUAUUUAAUGUAUUCAAUCUUUUAGGAAUAUUUAGAAUUUAUAAUAUCGUGAUCUGUAAUACAUAUUGUAAGAAUAUAUGUUGACUAGAAAAGGUAUAAAUUGGCAGUAAUUAAAAUUUUUAAGAGAGAAUUUUUUUAAUAGAACUUCCUGUCUUUCUUUAGACAAAUUGGUUCAUAAAUUUGAAUUCAAUAAUCCAAAGAAUACUUAAAGAACUUCAAAAAUAAUAUUGAUUAUGAUAUAAAGUAUUUAAAGAAUAAAAAAUGAAAAAAAAAAGUUAAGAAAAGAAGAUCUUACAAAUUAUUUAUACUUGUUAAAGAAGUUAAGAUGUAAAGAAAUCACUUAACAUUCUUAUCUAAUGAUUCUAUUUAAGAUAGCUCACCUCAAACAUAAAAUCCUUUAAAGUUCAUGCACAAAAUUUUACAUUUGAUUUUUUUACACAAGUUUAUUAAAGUUGAAGCACAAAAAUUUACAUUUGAUUCUUUUACACAAGUUUAUCAACAAAAUUGUAUUAACUCUUUUCUUAAAAAGUUACAGUUAAAUAAAAAAUUUUCCUAGUUUAAUUUCAUAAAGACAUUUUUCCGUUUUAAUCACACAAAGACAUUUUUCCGUUUUAAUCACACGUAAAUCUUGAAGAUUUUAAGAAUGUUUGUGUACCGACCAGGCAGUCGGGAGUAAUGACGUGGCAGCAAGCGAUAAUAUAGGCGUGUUGAGCGGAACACCUGGCUAACAGAAGGGCAGGAAGUCGGGGAGCUCGCGUAGUCGCCAAUCAUUAAGUUGGCGUGCUCCGAUCUCUAGCAUAUCUAAACUGGCGGUCACCGGGUUUGUGUCGUAAUCGCCAGAUGCGAACCCAGGCGACUAAGUGAUCAGAGAUCGCCGAGAAGAGGACAUCGCCGAAAGAUCAGGAAAGCUUGUUCAAGGCUUUCAAAGGGCACAAGUGCGAAGGAUGAAGUUAUCAGAUGAUCAUUCCCUAGCUAGCCAGAGGUUGAGGCCAGGGAACAGCUUACCAGGACAUGCACGGUGAAGCAAGUGAAGCAGAUCAUGAUGGCGGCCGGCGAGAACACAGGGAAGGUGUGCAUGGUGACACCCCGUACUCGCCACACAGAAGAGAUCGCGCUCCAAGGCAGCUAUACACCGAGUUGCUCCUCACCUGAGUAACUUAGUCGAACAGCCUGAAGAGUAAGAAGUGACGCUCAAGCAGAGGACGUUCCAGAUGGUGACACGUGUACAGCUGGAUGCGAGCCACGUGUCCAGAGGUGUAACCGUCAGGAGAGAGAAAGUGCACAGGUAUAUAAGGGAUUCUAACGAACUUCUGAGGUACGCGCGUUUAGAACACUUCUUUACGCUUGUGAGAACUUGAGUACGCUGAGAGAGAACAUUGCACGGUUCCUGGAGUUCUUAGUUUUUCUCUUAGUAUUUUGGUGGUUCAGUCACUGACUUGAGCGUCGGAGCGCGAUCGACCGCAGCGGCACCACUUUGUCUUUUGCAGGUUCUUGAGGAGAAUCGAGGUGCGAAAGACGGAAGCAAGCGUGGUGCAAAGUCGAUCACAGAGGAAGAUACCUUUGACGUGGCAAGGCUCUUGCUCUCUGGUCAACCGGCAGGAUCAGUUUGAAAUAUUUUGUAAUCUCUUAUUAUUUUCAAAAGGCACUCUUCUUCUUUCACAAUGAGAUUGAACAACAAAAUGAUAAAAAUUGUGUAAUUUAGUAUUGAAAAUUCAAAAAAUAACAAAUGCAUAAAAAAUUACAUAAAUGGGUAAGUCACCAUUAGUGAGUACAAUCUCAAACACUACAAGAAAAUCAUGAAAUAGAAACCAAUUUUUAGACACCAAAAUAAUUAGUUACAAUAAAAACUAAAAUAGAGACCAUUUUAGAAACUAAAAAAAAAUUGGUUUCUAAAUUAGUUUCUAUUAUUUUCUAUUAUUGCUAAAUAGUUUCUAAAUUGGUAUCUAUUUUAGUUUCUAAAAUGGUCUCUAAUUGGUUUCUAAAUUUGGUAGCAAAAAUCUUGGUUGCUAAUUAGAUACCAAUUUAGAAACUAUUUAACAAUAAUAGAAAAUAAUAGAAACUAAUUUAGAAAUCAAAUUUCUUUUUAGUUUCUAAAAUGGUCUCUAAUUUAGUUACUAUUGCAACUAAUUAUUUUGGUUUCUACAAAUUAGUUUCUAUUUCAUGAUUUUCUUGUAGUGAAAUAUUCAAAACAACAAAAGAUGUAUAGUGUGAGUACAAAUUUCAGUUUAAAACAGAUAUUGUCAACAAAAAAUACGACUUUUAUGUAAAAUUUGAAUAAAAGUAGUCAUCAUUCAUACGACUUUAAUUAAGCUCACUAAUUUGCCUAAAUUAUUUUUAAUAGAAGUCGCAAACUUCAGUUCAAAUAAAAUACAAAGAAUUUGUACUUAGGGUUGGCAACUUUAGUGUAUUUUAUUUGAACGGGAGUUGUCAUCCUAGUUGACAACUUCAGUUGAAAUAUUUUUUUUCCUCUACAAAAUAAAAAUAUGCAUAUAAUAAUUUAGAAAUUAAUUUAAAAUUACAUGAACUAAACAAUGUUGUGUAGAAUUCCAUUUAUAGUAUAUAAUUUCAAAUUUUCAAUUUUAUUUUAUUUAAAAAAUCAUAAAUAAAGUUGAAGAAUUAAAACUAUUUUUAUCUUUCUAAUUCUUUUGUUUAGUUUUCAUGUGGAAGGUUAAACUCUUAUGGGUUGAUUUCACAAUUAAUUUUGAGGUUAUGUGGACUAAAGUUUUAUUCUUCAAUAUUUGUAAUAAGUUACGCCAAAUGGUGUAGUCUUUUUUAGUUCUAAUUUCUAUUAUUGGAAUUAUUUUUGAAUGCAUGUUAAUGACUCAAUUUUGUUCUUUAAUUACAAUUCUUGUUCAAUUUAUGAGCAAUAUCUAUCUUUUUAAUUUAAGAGGUAAAAGAUAAAAUCUUACAAAUAGACGCAUGGAGAUGAAUAAAGUACUCAAUGAAUUAGUGGACGCAUGUUUCAUUAAUUAGAUUCUAUUGAAUUGAUUGACUUUGGUCAAUUCAAUCUUAUUUGGAGAUUGAAUGAAUAAUAUAUAUGUCCACUGAUCAAGGAUUCACUGCCAGAUGAACUUGAGACUCGACCUUUUUUUAUCUUCUUACUUUUAUCUUUUAAUUUUUUGUUCAAACAACCACAUAACCACCUUUUAAUUAGUUGUUCUUAUUAUCUAACAAUUAUUGUAGAUGAUAUAUGAAAUGUGUCUUACUAAUAUUAUACUUAAUAUAUGUUCAUCUCUUUUUGCAGACGAUCCAUUAUAGAGUCUUCUACUGGAACACUUUUAUUUGGUUGAAACCACAUCAACCAAACUCACUUUAACUCAAUCUCUUAAUAUUAUAAUUAUUUGCUUAUUAUUAUCUAAUUCACUUACUAGCUUAAACAUUAGAGUAUUAUUUAUAUAUGUAACUUGAUUCAAAUCAUUCUUAAUUUUUUUAUCAAACUGAAGUAAUUUCUUAUUGCAAUUCAUAACUUAACUCAUAAAGAUAAAAUACAACAAAUAUUGUUUAUUUAUAAGGCAGUAUUUAAGCGAUGACAACUUCCUGUGAUAUAUGUGUGUAUGUAUGUAUGUAUAUAUGUAUGUAUGCAUAUAUUUUGAAUGUCAUGUUGCUCAUUAAGUUUAGUCUUGGCUUUAGCAAGUCUUUCCUAUGGUGAUUUUUUCUUCUUCUGAAAAUUUAAUCCACUGCAUUAAAUCCUUGGGAAGUCCCAAACUUGUGUAACUAUUAUUUUCUCAGGAUGAUUUGGAGGAUGAGAAAUCACCUUAGGUUUCAGCGAGAAAUCAAUAUUCACAUGGUUAUUGAGACAAUAAAGAACUAUGUCAAACUUUCUGGAAACUCCUUUAAGAAUGACAUCUUCGAUUUUUCUGUUUUGAAAUUCUUUAAAAUUAGUUCGCGACUAACAAAAAUUUUGCAGCCUAUUCAAGUUGUUUGGAGUUUUCAUCAGGUUAGUUGGAUUAAAGUCAAUACAAAUGGUGUAACCAAGGUUUUUCGGGCCUUAUUGCUUCUGUUAGGAUUUUAAGAGGUAGUAUGAGAGAGUUUGUUGGUGCAUUUUCUUCCAUCUUGGUGUUCGAUCGUAUAUUUAUGUUGAAUUCAUGGAAGCUAUCAUUUCUACUAAACAAGAUCAACAUGUUGGAUAUUGUCGCUUUUGGUUAGAGAGUGACUCUACCUUGGUAUGCCUUACUUUCUCUUUUAUGCAUUUUCAUCUUGUUCCUUGGGUUAUACGUAGUAGAUGGAAUCACUACAACAUUUUUUAGUUUAGGCAACGCUAAACUAGACCAAGAGUAUAAAAUUGUUUCCUCAACAUAGUAAAUGUCACAGUUUUAAAGAUGUGGCUUAAAAAUUAUAAGAAGCUACAAUUUUUAACUCGUUGACACUUUAAGCCAUAGUUAUAAAAAUGUUAAUAUUUUAAGUCACGAUUAUCUACGCGUGGCCUUUGGGGUCUAAGAAAAAAUUGAAAUAAAAUAUAAUCUAAUUUUGCGUUCCCGCUCUCGUGAAAAAACGAAUGCACUCAACACACAAUACAUUGUGUCUCUGUUUCCCUCGCGUUCUUUGUGUUUUCUUCCUCGCUCUUGCGUUCUUCCUGCUUUCUUCAUCACUGUCUUACGGUCUUUCUCACUCACGUUCUUCCUCACUGUCUUGCAUUCCUGUCUCGCAUUCUUGUCUGACGUUCUUCCUCACUUCUCAUCUAGACAACAUUGAGCUUUGGUAAGUUUGUUUGUCAUCUUUCUCACUCUUUCAUCUAUAUAAUUUAGGGUUUUUUUUGUUAGGUUUUUUUGAAUGAAUUUUUUUUAUUGUUUGUUUGGGGUGUCAAAGAUUUUUAGGGUUUGGAGUGUUUGGAAGUCUCUGACCUCACAACACCGAAAAAAACUUCAUAUUCAACUUUGGUGCUUAACGCACCACUGCUCAAGGUGUUGUUGCUCCUCAAGACAUUGCUUUGGUUGCCUUUGAUAUUAAUUCUUUAAUUUUUUUAUUAUUUUAUUGCUUUAAUUUUUACUUUUCCUUUUGUUAUUAAGUUUUUAUGUUAUUAGUUUCUAUGUUUCUACCGCUUACUAAACUAAUUUGUCAAGAAUAACGUAGAAUUUUGUUCUAGAUAUUAUUAUAGCUAUAUAUUAAUAUAUAUUUGAGGGAAAGUCAAUUCUUCAAAACAAAACCUAAAAAUUGUAUCUAACUUUUCUUCCAAUUUGAUUUCAUACUGUUAGGCAAUAUAAGCAAUUAUGAAUAACUCAUUAGUUAGUUAGCAUGCAGAUUAAACAUUAAAGGAUUGGUGGAGUGGUAGUUGGAAAGAACAUAUUAUAAUUUAUAAUUUCUUCUAUAUUUAAGUUCAUUUGUUUUAAUGGAUUAACAAGAGCUUAUAAUCACGGUCCUCGUUCUAAGCCUAAUAUUAUAUAUAGAGACAGAUUCUCGUCUCCUUUAAUGUUUAAAUUAGUGCACUAAUUCAUUGACUUGUACCUAUGGAAUAAAUCUAUAAGGGAAUGUGGAAUAUGUAAAUGUUCUCUGUUGCUCUAAAAUUAAGCUCCAUGCUUCUUUGUCAAUGGGAAAACUCACUAACCGAAAGGAUUGAGAAUGUUACAACUCAAAUUUAUUUUUAAUGGUUUUAAUUUUUUAGCAUUUACUUUUGCUCACACUAUAAAUUUUAUUCACUAAAUUAACUAAUUCAAUAUGAGAAAGACUAAGUGAUUUGUCAUUACUUAUAGGCUUGUUUCAGAGGUUUUAUUGUCUCUCUGAAUUCAAUUUUUCUUAUUGUUAUUGUGUAGGUUUAGUUCUUAUUUAUUUCUUUGAAAAAUGAUUAUAUUUUAGUGCCAUUCAAUGACCUCAAAUAUUCUAGGUGCCAUAUAGUUAAAGCUCACAUUCGUGUGAAGCCUGAGUAGUUUAGGCAUGCAACAUACCUCUAAAUACAACAUACCUGACUCUGGCUUUUUUUAUUUAUAUAAAAGUUUGAUAGCUUUUUGUGCAAGUUAUUUAUUGGGUCUUCAUUGCUCAGAAAAGAAAAAGAAAAAGAAAAAGUUGCCUAUAUUUAGACGGUUGAUAGCAGAGUUUCAAAUUCAAUGGGUUUUUUUUUUAUGAAAUCAAUAAAUAAAAUCAAUAACAAAAAUUAAAGUUUUACAAUUGAAAUUGAAAUGUAAAGGGUAGUUCGAUGAAUUGUGCCUUCAUAGCCGAUUGAAAUUCUUUGAAUGUUGAGAUGAAUUGUGGAAGCUUCAAUGGAGGAGGCGUGCAAGGAGGCGUGCAAGGAGGCUUAUUUGAAGCUAUGGAUUCCUUGAAGGUGCAUGCUAGGUAUGAAGAGUGACUGGUUGGACCAUAUCACUUGAGCUAGGUAGAGAAGAAGACUAAAGUGUCUAUCCUAAGGAGGCAAGACAAGAGUGAGAAUUUGGCUAGCAACUUUGGCAGCAAUUUCACUCAUUCAUUAAUCUUGUAAAAACAUGAGCCAAACACCUCAAUUUAUAGGAGUGAAGGCUGAAAAUUUUGGAGCCAAAAUUUGAAAAUUCAAAAUAAAACUCUCCAAUAAGAAGGUGUCUUGUGCAGCAGUCAUGCUUUCACUACAAGAAAAUCAUCAAACAAAAACCAAUUUUUAGACACCAAAAUAAUUAGUUGCAAUAGUAACUAAAUUAGAGACCAUUUUAAAAACUAAAAAAAAAUAGUUUCUAUUAUUGUUAAAUAGUUUCUAAAUUGGUAUCUAAUUAACAACCAAAAUUUUAACUACCAAUUAUUUAGUUUAUAAAUUUGGUAGCAAAAACCUUGGUUGCUAAUUAGAUACCAAUUUAGAAACUAUUUAACAAUAAUAGAAACUAAUUUAGUUACUAUUGCAACUAAUUAUUUUGGUCUCUAAAAAUUGAUUUCUAUUUCAUGAUUUUCUUGUAGUGUUUCCAUGUUUAGCUCACACCUUCCAUGCUAAAUCAUCUCCACUCCUAGGUUGCCAUAUGAACGUCCAUGUGCUCCAUGCCAAGGUGAUUUUCGUCCUCCAAUAUACCCUAGACGUUUUAGGGUUACAUUGGGCUCAAAGAAGCCCAAUUGUUACCCUGACUAGUCAAUUUUAACCCUAACUAUACCUAUUUUACUAUUGGCCCAAAUACAAGCCCAAAACCCUAUGCUACUUGGCCCAAAUAUUUGGUCCAAUUAUUUUAUACUACUAGGCCCAAUACAUGUCCCAUGAAAUCCUAAACAACUUUAUACAAUUUAUUUAAGCUAAAGCUUGACCCAAAAAUAAUGUUGCAGCAAAAAAUCAAUCUUCUUGUGUUCUUCUAACCAAAGCUCUAGUUUAUGUUUUGAUGAUUUGGAGGUCUUCUUGGAUAUGUUUGUACAUUCCUUCACCCUAGAGUUGUCCUCUUGAUUGAGCCUACAAAAGCCCAAUUAGACCCAUAUUUGCAAAUAAAUCAAUAAACAACCUCUAGGUCUUCAUCCUACUUAUUAUGUGGUUGUGUGUGGCUGGGGGCUCAACCAUCAAGUGUGUCAUUCACAUUGUCUUUUUAGGAAUUGAUCAAGUAAGUAUACCCAUUGGCUCCAUGUAUCUUCACAUCAUCAAAGCCCUGAAUAAAUGAUUAGUUCAAUAACCUUUUGUUGACUUUGUCUCGUUAUCAUAUUCAUUAAUAUGAAGUUUUUAGUAACAUUAUAUUUUGGUCCUUUAUUACAUCCAUGAAAGAUGCCACUAUGAUGAGAAUGUAUGCAAACUAUUGUCUAACUUUCUUGCCUAUAGAGAGAUAUUUUUAUUUUCUCUUAAGUAAAACAUCUAUACUUUAUUCUAUAUUAUGAAUAGUUUAAUUCGUAUGUUGCUGUUAUGGUAAUGUUUUUUGAAAAAAAUCAGCAUCCAAUUGGAACUCUUGUAGAUACAGGAUAUUGGAUGACUUCAUAAAAAUUAAAUUCUUUAAGUUUCAUAUAUUCAUGUGAAUGUAGCUCUCUGUUUUAUGUACUACCUUUUAGAUUUCUUUCUAAUUCUUGGUGUUGUUAUUGAUGAAACUAAGAAAGAGACAUAACUAAGGGAAGCAAAUAAAAGUAAGAGUGCUUAAAGAAAUUAGGAUUGAUUUACUACUGACAUUUUAAUGACCUUUUUAGAAAUCAUCUUUCCACAUGUUCAACUAUAUUUUAUCUCAAUCUUUGUACGUCUGAUAACUAUUGAAAGAGGUCAGUUGUGUGAUAAACAAACUUAACUCAUUUAUCAUUUUAAAUAUUCAAAGCAUGUUUACUUUUUGUUUAUUUAAUGGUUAAAUAUAUGCUGGAAAUAUUUAGAUUCAUGGACCUAAAUGUUUUUUGUUUUUAUUAAUCCUUAUUGAUAAGUUUAGGCAUCACCUUUAUAAAAGUCUAUUUUAGUAACGAUUUUACCUUAAUUAAAUUAUAUUAGUUUUUAAAAUUUGACUCAAUUCAAUCAGUGUACAAUUAUAUUUAAUUAUUGUAAUAAUCGAGUUAGUAUGAUGUAUGGUAGGUAUUAGGUAUUGCAAGUCUACUCUACAAUUCAGAUUCAUUUAUUUGUUCCCAUUUUCUCUCACCAACACACAUACUAGUUAUUCCUCCAAGAACUCCACUUGCUAGCUCCAAGUCAAGUUCUAUAACUUGUUAUUAACUCAUAUUAAAUUGGAGGAGAACAAGUAUUUAUCAUCUUUUAUUCUUAUUAUUGUUCAAACUUAUUAAUUAUUUUGGAGACAUUUACAAUAUAUGAUGAUUUUUUAUCUAUUAGAUUUAAGAUGGUGGACAAAGAGUGGACUAAAUUUCCAAGGUUUCGUAAAGAGUAUAUUAAUGGUGUUGAGUUAUUUUUAGAUUUUGCAUACACUAGUGGAAGACCUCAAGGAAUGAGAUUUUGUGCUCUUGUUCUAAGUGUAGAAAUCGUUGUUGGACAAGAAGAGAUGUAGUCUAUGAUCAUUUAAUAGCUAUAUGAUUUCUAAAAGGAUAUAAAAUUUGGGUAAACCAUGGGGACGAAAUAUCAUAGUUGCCUAUUAUAAAUGAUGAUGACAUGGAAGAUGAUAUUGACAGCUUAUUGCAUGAUACAUUUAGAAAUGUGAUAGAAGAAAAUGGUGGAAACGAUGGUCCUGACGAGGAAGAAAAAAAAAUCUACAAUUUGAUUAAUGAGGCAAAACAAGAGUUAUACCCUGGAUGCGAAAGUUUCUCUACUCUUUCUUUCAUAAUUCGAUUGUAUCUCUUAAAAUGUCUUCGUGGGUGGAGCAAUGCCUCAUUUUCUAACCUAUUACAAUUAUAGAAAGAAGUCAUGUCGAAUCUAAACAUUCCUGAAUCCUUUAAUAAAAUAAAGGCCUCAAUUAAAGAUUUAGGCCUUGAUUAUAAGAAGAUUCAUGCAAGUCCAAAUGAUUGUAUGUUAUAUUGGAAGGAGAAUGAAACUGACAUUUUUUGUGAUAAGUGUAAAGUUUCAAGGUGGAAGGAAUCUUGUGAUGUAAAUUUUGACUUACAACAACAACAAAAUCAGCAGAAACUGCUUUCAAAAAUUUUGAGGCACUUUCCAUUAAUUCCUAGACUUCAAAGGCUAUUUAUGUGCUCAAACACUACAGAGUCAAUGAGGUGGCAUGAAGAAGAGCGGUCAAAAGAUGGUAAAUUGAGACACCCUGCUGAUGGUGAAGCUUGGAAAGACUUUGAUAGACUUUAUUCUAAUUUUUCUUCUGAGACACGAAAUGUAAGACUUGGUCUAACAAGUGAUGGCUUCAAUCCAUUUAGGACUAUGAGUAUAUCACAUAGUACUUGGCCAAUCAUGAUGGUGGUGUACAAUUUUCCAUCAUGGUAAUGCAUGAAACCCGAAUACACUGUGUUGUCACUAUUAAUUCCUGGACCACAAUCACCAGGAAAUUAUAUUAAUGUGUAUUUGCAACCACUAAUUGAGGAAUUAAAGGAAUUAUGGGAAAUGGGUGUAGAAACAUAUGAUAUCUUAAGAGAUCAAAAAUUUCAAAUGCAUGCAACUCUUUUGUGGACUAUCAAUGACUACCCUGCAUAUGCUAUGUUGUCAGGUUGGAGAACUAGAGGAAGGUUGGCAUGACCAUGUUGCAAUCAUGACACAUUCAUCUUACUUGAGACAUAGUCAUAAGAUGUGUUAUAUGAAUCAUCGUGUCUUUUUACCACCAAAUCAUGCAUGGAGAGUUAAUAAAAAGUCCUUUAAUGGAAAGAAAGAGUUUGGAUUUGCACUAACUAUGUUAGAAGGGAUUGAAAUCCUAAAAAUAUUAAAGGAUUUCAAAAAUUAUUUUGGAAAGAAUAAAAAAAAGAUGGCCCGUGGAAAAAGAGAUCAAUCUUUUUUUAGUUUCCCUAUUGGUCACAAAAUAAAUUACGACAUAAUCUUGAUGUAAUUCACAUUGACAAAAACAUAUGUGAUAAUGUUAUUGGAAGUCUUUUGGACAUUCAUGAAAAGACAAAUGAUCAUAUUAAUGCACAUUAUGAUUUACAAGAUAUGGGAAUUAAAAAGAAUCUUUAUCCUAGGGAGAUUGAUGGAGGUCGUGUACAAUUUGCAAGAUCUUGUUUUUCAAUGAAUGCACAUGAAACGUCAAUUUUUUGUGGUGUUUUAAAGGCUUCCAAAUUACCAUAUGAGAUUGCAUCAAAUAUUUCAAAGUGUGUGAAUGUUAGUAAAAAAAAUUAGUGGUUACAAGACUCAUGAUGCACAUUUCAUGCUACACUACUUGUUACAAGUUCCAAUAAGAAGCAUAAUGCCUCAUGUAGUGGCUAACCCUUCAAUUCGUUUGGGGUCCUUUUUUCCCUCUGUGUCAAAAAGUGAUCCAUGUGCAAGAUUUGGAUUUCUUAGAAUCUAAUAUUACAGAAGUACUUUGUCAGAUGGAGACAAUAUUUCCUCCUAUUUUUUUGACAUAAUGGUUCACUUGCCUAUCCAUAUAGCAAAUGAAAUAAGGUUAGGUGGGUCGGUGCAAUUUCGAUGGAUGUAUCCAAUUGAGAGAUAUUUAUGCAGACUUAAAAGUUAUGUUCGAAAUAAAGCUUACCCAGAAGGUUUUAUUGUUUAAGGGUAUUUAGCAGAAGAAGCUUUGACACUUUGUUCAAGAUAUUUGCAUAAAGGUGUAGAUAUAAGGCUGAAUAGAAAAAGGAUAAAUUAUGAGGGUAAUGAUUUAUGUGAUGUAGAUUUGUGUGAUUACUUUUCAAGUAGUGGUCUUCCUUUGGGGGGAAAUAAAAAAGGUAAAUCAUUUUCUUUGGAUUUUACAUCUAAAGAUCAAGCACAUCGAUACCUCUUAUUCAAUUGUUACGACUUAGACAUAUACAUUAGGUAUGAUAAUAGUUUUUUUUCUCAUUUUCUCAAUUAUAAAUUAUAAUUCAAAUCACUAACAAAAUGUGUUUGUAUUUAUAGAGAGUGUGAUGAUAUUUUAAAUAGGAAGACUAAAAGAAGAAAGUGGAUUAAGACGGAGAACCAAAAUCAAGAUUUUAGUGAAUAGUUCAAAGAUAGAGCCAUGAAAGACGACAUAUCACUUCCACUUAAAGAAUUCUCUUAUGGUCCUAAUAGUGUUGCAAAGAGAUUUUCAGGUUACCUCAUCAAUGGUUAUAGAUUUCAUACUACAAAGAGAGAUGCAACACACAAAACUCAAAAUCCUGGUGUAACUUUGGUUUCAUUGACUCCAAGUUAUGCAAGUUCUAAGGAUGAAAAUUCUAGGAUAGAACAUGUCACUUAUUAUGGGGCAAUCAAAGACAUAAUUGAGUUACAUUAUUAUGGUCAUUUGAAAUUUGUGAUGUUUAGGUGUGAUUGGUUUGAGGGUGGGGAAGACAAAUAUGGACUUACAUGUAUCUACUUUAACAAAAAAUGUUACCAAAAUGACCCCUUUGUGUUGGCUUCCCAAGUCCACCAAUGAUUUUUUGUUUAAGAUCCUUUUGAUAUAAAUAGAAACUAUGUUUUGAAGACAGUUCCAAUAGACAGUUCCAAUAUGUCUGUCACUAUAGCUGAGAAACCUUCUAAACAUUUGGACAGAAAAUUAUUCUGAUGAUCUUGAUUUUGAUGACACUUUGUUUGACUACAUGGACUAAGAGGAGGAUUGUUAAUGCUGAUAGGAUGACAAAUUGUCUGAUGUGAGAAUUCUUGAAAUUUAAGUUAUAGAAUGUAUAAUUUUUGUUUAUCUAUCCUUAUUAUUAUUUUCAGUCCACUUAAAUUGUAUUCUUCAUUGUUUGUUAUAAUAACAAACAAGCAAAAUGAAGGAAAAUUGGAAAACUUUUUGUGAAUUUGGCUUGUUUUCUGUUUUCAUUUUUAAUUGAUAUGUUUUCUCAAAACUGCCAUAUUGUUUUCUAUUUUUUCCUUUUAUAUCAUGUCUUCUUGCAUUCAACACUUUAAAAUAUGCAUUCAAAAACUAAAUUUUACUUUGUGGUCUUGUUAUAUUCUAUAGUUACAUUCUCUUACAUUGUGGUCCUUCAUAUAGCAUGUUAAUAAGAUGACUAAUUAUGUUUUGCUUUAACUUCCAUGGUGGUAUAUCAAAUUAUUGUUUUCACAUAAUGAAUAAGGAAGCAAACUUAAAACGACAUAUGAAUGCUCAAGACAAGAUUCAAAUGAGUGUUGCAAAUUUGGAACCUCCUCUCGUAAAAUCAAGCAAAAAAUUGCUAAGAAAAAUGCAAAUCAAACGUGAAAAAAUGACAAGUAAAGAAUGUACCACUGCACCUACUAUUGUUGCCCAAAGACAAGUGAGCUUGCCUAAUCUUAAGGUAAGUGACUAAAUAAAUUUGGACAGGAUGCUUAAUUAACAAAACAAAAUGUUGCAGUUGCAAGUACUGUUCAACAUAAAAUUCAUAGUCAAAACAAACAUUGAUUGGAAGAAUUGACAUCUAAAAGCAUCAAACAUAGACAACUCCCAGAACCAAAUAUGAAAUCCACGAAAAAGACAACAAUUGCAAGUGAUAAGUCAAAGGAAAGGCUACAAGCACUUGAAAGAGCAUUGACUCAACUUAGUAAUUCUAGUGCCAAUGAAUAACUUGAGCAAAAGGGAGUCUCACCAGAGGAGAAUUCUAAGAAAAGACAAUUGCCUAUGAAAUUAGUACAAGUUGAAGUUGAUAGUUCAAAGGUAAAAGGUCAACUUAGAAAAAAGACAAGAAUGAUGGAUGACAACUCAAAAUCUAAGGAAGGAAUAGUGAUUGAAGAUGUUGAAUCAAUGACAAAACAACAACACGCUCCUAAUAAAACACAAACAAAAAUUUUGUCCAUCAAUGUCAAUAAAUCAAUUUCUUAAAGAAAAUGGAAACAAUAAAAGUGAAGAAAAAAAUGUUCAAAAUGGAAGUGAGGAUGAAGAACAAUAUGUUGGAGAAGAAAAUGCAUACCAAGAUGAAGAUGGAGUGAAUACGAUAGAAGGUAAAUGUUUAUUAUUACAAAUAGACAACAUUUUUUUUCCAUAUUUAUGUCUUCUUUAUAAUAUUUCAUUUAAUGAGUUCAAUGUUAAAAUAGGAACAAGUAAGAAAAAAGCGCAAGGUCAAACUCAAUGCUUAGUAUACACAUGGAAGAUCUAGUCAAGAACGUCCAGAAGUUAUCUUAGACAUUGAUCGAGAACCAACUGGUCCCACUUGACAAGAUUUUAACUGACUUAAGUUAUUUCCUUGGCACGAUAACUAGGACUUCUUCCUUUUGUCCCUUGAUUUACACAAAUUUCAAAGCUUUUCUCAAUGAUAAAUAUAACAAGGCUCGUAUAUGAGCAUAUGUUAUGGUAUGAAAAAUAAAUUUACAUUGAUUUAAUGAUCAAAUAUUUAUGAAAAUACAAUCAUUCUAAUUCUCUUUUAUAAGAAAAGUUCAUCAUUAGUGAUAAAGGAGAGAAAGCGAUAUUUACUCGGAUAAAUGAUGCAUGGAGACACUACAAGAGUUUUAUCAAUAAAAGACACUUUUUAAAGUACUACACAUUGAAGGAUCGCCUCAAAUAUCGUCCAUUAUUCAAUUCUGAAGAUCAUUUCAAACAAUUGUUGAAAUAUUGGAACACUAGCAUUAUCAAGGUUAGAUAAUUUAAUGUCUUAUUUCUUUAAAAUUGCAUUAUUAUCUACCUUCAUUGUUAUUUUUAUCUUAUUACAAUGUGGAGUAUUAGUGAGCAAAAUGUUGCAAAUAGGGCACAACAAAAGUACAUUCAUCGCUUGAGACCAACCAAUUUAGCUAGAAUUCAUGUUGAAUUAGUAAGAUAAUUCUAAUUAUGUCUCAAUAUUUUAAAUCCAAUACAAAAACAUCCUUUUUCUUAUUAUUGUUUUUUAAUAUAUAAUUGUUGUAGCGUGCCAAUAAAAAGGUAGGAGAAAAAGUUACCCAAGUUGAAAUGUUUAUUACAACUCGUCAACAUCAAAAAGGCCGAAGAGGAAAAGAAAUGGAUGAAGAAACAUAUAAUAUCAUUGUAAGUUUACAAAUAUUUAUGAAGUACAUAAAAAUAUGUUCUUUUUAAUAGUUGAAAUUCAUUCUCUUUUAUUAGACUAAACUUCAAGGUUCUAUUCAAAACUCAAGUGAAUAUGCACACUACAAGAAAAAUUGGAAUUAUAUACCGCCAAAAUCUGUAUGUAAGACCCAAAAUUCGUAUGUAAUGUAAAAAAAAUUNNNNNNNNNNNNNNNNNNNNNNNNNNNNNNNNNNNNNNNNNNNNNNNNNNNNNNNNNNNNNNNNNNNNNNNNNNNNNNNNNNNNNNNNNNNNNNNNNNNNAUUAUAAUUAAUAUUAUUAAUAUUAUAAUUAAUAUUAUUAAUAUUAUAAUUAAUAUUAUUAAUAUUAUAAUUAAUAUUAUUAAUAUUAUAAUUAAUAUUAUUAAUAUUAUAAUUAAUAUUAUUAAUAUUAUAAUUAAUAUUAUUAUUAAUAUGAUAAUUAAUAUUAUAAUUAAUAUUAUAAUUAAUAUUAUUAUUAAUAUUAUUAUUAUUAUUAUUAAUAUUAUUAGUAUUAUUAUUAAUAUUAUUAGUAUUAAUAUUCAUAUUAUUAAUAUUAUAUUCAUAUUAUUAAUAUUAUAUUCAUAUUUUUAUAUUAAUAUUGUUAAUAUUAUUAAUAAUAAUAAGUAUAAUAAAAAUCAUAAUAAUAUUAAGGAAUUUGCUUACUGUACUUGUAGUGUGCAGAACAAGCAUUUCAAUCAAUAUUUGGAAAAGAGAAACCUGGAAGAAAAUUAAGACAUAGAGGCAAUGGUAAAAUUUGUGGUAAAGCAGCAAAAUCCAGAUUUAAAGGAGGAUGACACAUGUUUUAACUAAAGAAAGUAGUGGAGUGAGGCUACAUUCAUCUCCAUCCACCCAUGAUUUUCAUUAUGAGCAGGUAUAUAUAAUUGAAAAGUAUUUACUGGACUUUGAGAAAAGUUUUCAAGUUACACAUGAAAUUGCAUUGAUUUGUAAUGUUGGAGGAGUACAUUUAAAAGUUACAAUUUUAUCCUUAAGUUUUUUUUUUUGCUUGGAUCAUGGAGAUAUAAACACAUACAUAAUCAUAUUGGAAUUUCAAUCAUGUUAAUAAGUUUAGUGAUAUGGAUUAGAAUAGGUGGUACUCUUGAUUUUGUGUUGUAAACACAUACAUACAAUUGUCUAGUGUUACGUCAAAGUUUAAUGAAUUUGAUUAAGGCAUGUUAUUGAUUAUUUAUAAAAUUAUAUUUUGGUAGUUGCUAUAUUUAUUUUGUUUGAAUUAGAUUUAAUUAGUAUAUAUUUAUGUACUUUUUUUUAACUUGAAGUCAAUGAAGACUAUGAAACCAAUAUUGAAGAAGAAUGAACUUAUUGAUAUGUGUAGUAAUGAAACAAUAGAUUAUGUUUUUUAGGCAAUGGUUUUAAAAUUGUUGUCUUUAUAAAAACUGUGACCUAUUACAAACGGUCACGCUCAUCUUGACCACGACCAAAAAACCAUUGCCUAAACUUUAGGCCACGAUUUUUAUGCUUUAGACCACAAUUUUAUGUUGUUGUCUAAAGUAAUAAUUAUUGUAGUGAAUAAAUGUUUAUCUUUUUGUACAAGGAUUGAGUUUAAAGUAUUACAUAUUUUUAGGGUCAAGUAACUAAUAUGCUGAGAGUUCUACAUGUUUGCUUAAUUAGCUUGACUUUGUUUAGUUUUUUAUUUAGACUUUUUCAUAUUUGGUAUAAACUUUUUAUGUAUAGUUUUGAAUAAUUGAGAUAUUAAAUAUCAUAGUAAUAGUAAUGUCUAAUAUAAGUUGAUUAAAAAAUAGAUGAAUUAGUAUUUAGUAUUAUGCAUGAGUAUUGAUAUAUCACCGUGAAUUAAUUAAAAACAUUAAAAAAAAAAGUUCAUUUAAUUGCAAAGAAUGUUAGGUGUUUGAUCCGAAAAGGACAAUCUAGUCUUUGGCUGCCCGAAAAAGGAAACGUAAAAUCUUCUUAACUUUCCAUUAUUGAUUCGUUUGCUAGAAUUUGAAGGAAAGGGAAAGAAGUUAGUUAUGCAAGGAAGAAAUAAUUUAAUUUAAUAUUUGACUUUCUCAUUGAAAGAAAAUUCCAGAGAAAAAGAAAACGUUUCAAUCAAAUUCACAGGAUAAAAAAACUUAAGGUAUAUUAGGACAAGUUUAUCUUAGAAUUUACUUAUGAAACAGAUCUUAUAUUAGGAUUAUUUAUUUAGCUACAGAGUUUAUAACGGAAACUUUUUAAUAUAAUAUGGCUUUUCUCUUAUUUUUUAUGUGAAAAAAAAUCAUUAUUAGUAAUUAAAGAAAAGUUUUUAAGAAUGAAACCCACAUAUUUUUAACCUAUCCCUAACACACCUAUGAAGGGUUUGAACUCUCAUUGACUUUAAUACAUUCUAAGCAAAAUAAUUAUCACAUUGAACAUCCUUUAGUUUUUAUUUUGGUAACAAAACAUCCUUUAGUCAAGCAUUUUGCAUACAAAUUAUUUUUAACAUGCUAAUAUUUGAUCUUAAAAGGGCGAAAUUGAAAAUAAAAUUAAGGUUUAAGACAUCACUUGUUCGAAGUUCAACUUAAGGCAUACAUUCAUUAAAGAUAAAUUAAAAUUGAUACUUGCCUUUAUUUUAUUUAUGAGGUUGAUUGGUUUAACAUGGUUCUCCAACUUCACUAUUUAAUUUUUUUUCGAGAUAUAUAUAUAUAUAUAUAUAUAUAUAUAUAUAUAUAUAUAUAUAUCGUAUUUAAUUCUUUAUUACCCUCNNNNNNNNNNNNNNNNNNNNNNNNNNNNNNNNNNNNNNNNNNNNNNNNNNNNNNNNNNNNNNNNNNNNNNNNNNNNNNNNNNNNNNNNNNNNNNNNNNNNUAUAUAUAUAUAUAUAUAUAUAUAUAUAUAUAUAUAUAUAUAUAUAAAGAAUACAUAUUUUACUCUUAAUUAUUUAUAAUGUGAUGAUUAUAUUUAAAUAUUUAUAAUUAAUUUAUAUAAAUAUUUUAAAAUAUAUUUAUUUUAUUGAAUUAAAAAAAAUAAACGCAUGCACUCACGAGUUUUCUAUAUUAUCUAAUAGUCUAAUAUAGGAGGAGGAUUCUCAUCUUCUUAUUUAUAUAUAUAUAUAUAUAUAUAUAUAUAUAUUACAAUUAAUGUGUUAUUUAUAGUGUAAUAAUACUAUAAAAAAGUAUUUAAAUAAUCAGAUACACAAACAUCUCACGUCAUGUUUCCACCAGUAACAUAAUAAGAGAAAUUGAUAAAAGGAAAGUUAUUCUCGUAGAGAAAUAAAAUAAUUUUUUUUUAAAUAAUAGUAAUAAUAUAUUUUAAUACUAGUAAUAAUAUAUUUUAAUAACUAAUUAUAAAUGUAUAAUCCAUUAUAAUAUAGACUAAUGCUAAACUGCGUAUUAUGAUUAUCAAUUACUAGAUACAAUUUCAUAACUGUGUAUACGUUUUUUUUUAAUUUAAAUAAUAUAAUUAUAAAAGAAUAAUUUAAAAAUUAAGAAAAAAUGUAUGUUUAUAUUAUUUUAAGUGGAGAAACUAAAAAUAUAUCCUUUUUUAUUAAAGGAUAAACUUGUUAAAUAAACAGAUGACACUAAAGAGGUUACAAGAAUUAUCCUCAUUAUAUAAUGAUGACAUAAAUAAAAUAAAUAUAAUUAAAAAAUUAAAAAUAUAAUAAUUAUAAUUUAUAAUUAUUAAAAUAAAAUUAUGAAAACUGUUUUUGUCGGUUGACUCUGAUUACAAGUUCUAGCUCCGUCUGUCUCUGCUGGAAUCUACUAUUCCCUUUGUUACGUUAGAAUAUGUGGCUCCGUUGAACACGAAGAACCCUACCUGUUGAUUGCACUCCGACGAUCAAGUCAGUAAGGGCUUAUAAGAAUUAAGAAGUAACAAGUUUCAGUCUUAGAAACCGCAUCCCUUAAUGAUGAGAAUCAAAAAGAUGUUAUCAAUAGAAGAAAUGGACAAGGGCCAAAGCAUUUAAAGUUCUUAUUAUUAGUCUUUGCAAAAGAUAAGGCCCAAGCCCAAAGCCCAAGCCCAAGCCCAAGAAGGCCCAAGCCCAAGAAGCCCAAGUCCAAACCAUGAGGGGCAAGGCCAAGCAUUAAAUAAAAGAGCAUCAUUUGAAUGACUCUUGUAGGAGGUGUGGAUAUUAAAUAAAUAGGUGUGAAUGUAUUAGAGAGAGUCACUUUGUCCAUGUGACUUAGUAGGGGGUGUAGGUGUAGUUUUUAGGAGGUGUCAUAGUAGAAAAAGGUCACACCUCCCAUGUGACUUGUUUUUGGUGGGAAUUUCAAAUGAGUUUUAUUUGAAAUUUCCCACCUAUUUUUCAGCACCUCUAGGCUAUAAAUAAAGGUGCUUAGCUUGUACAAUUCAGAUUGGAAUUUUAUAGUAGAGAGACUAUACUCAAAUUUGGAGAGAAAUUGUGAGUCUUGAGUCUUCUUCUUCCUUUGCCUUAUCUUGUGAGCUAUGGUGAGCUUCAAGUGGCGGCACUCCAUCACUUAUCUUGGAUCAAGGAACCAAGUGGCGUGAAGUGUUCUUCCAAUUCUCAAAGUCCAGCAAACUCCUUCUAUAAGUGUUCUUCCUUCAUGUUCUUUCAAUUCCAUUCGGUAGAUUAGUUUUGUUUGUUGUUUCUUUUCAUUUUUACCGUUUGAAUUUCUGUUUUCCAGCUUUGCUUCUAGUUUCUGUUCGGUGCAGUAGUUUAUUAUUUCAAUUCUGUCCAGCUUUCAAUUCUUGUUCUUCAUUUCUUGUGUUUUGAUUCCAUUUGACAAUAUAUGGACUUCCAUAUGAGUCUUGGUUGGUGCUAAGUCUUGGUGAGUUCUUGAAUUAGAACAUUGAUCCAAUUCUAAAGUAAGGUGCCAUUUGUGACCAGCUCAAGUUGCUCCUAAGAAUGUCAAAGAAUCAUGUAUUCUUGUAGUUACAUUCACAUCACUUAACCUGGACUCUCACGUCCCUUUUAAUAGUUUACCUCUUGUGGCACCUUUCUAUCACGAGAAUAUAAUCUCAACUGAAAGCGUACUCAACAGGAGAAUAUUCGAGAAUAUUUUGUUCAAGGGCUCACUAUCACAGUGCAACAACAUAACGAAAUCUUUUCUCCAGGGAGUGCAUAAAAUAAUAACAAAAUAACCUCCAGGGUACCAACUCAUGUACUAGCAUCAGGGGUCAAUUUUGUUUACGUAGGCACCCACAGCGUGGCGCUACGCAUCAUAUAUGCAACCUAAACUUUAUGUGCCCUAGCACACACGCACACUAAGCGCAUCCCUAGGUCCAUAAAUACCCCUUACUCGCCACCUAUACCUUAUGCACGAAGGGUUACACUAAACAUACAAAAAGGACUAAUACAUGCACUCGAGCCCAAUCACAUGGCCCGCCAACUUGGUCCAAAAGCCGAGCUGACCUAUCUGUGGCAAGUGCUGAGGUCCGACCUCCGAGUAUUGAGUUCUGAGCACUUUGGUCCAAUACAAAAACAUUAUAAAAUAAAUACUUUUGUUAAUUUUAUAAUUAUAUAGUAUUUGGUGAUAAUUAUUAUUUAUUAUAAGUAUUUUUUAUAAGUAAUAAAGUUAAUAAAAUAAGUUAUCAUUAUAAGGAUAAAAUUUGAAAUAAACUGUGCAUAUUAAAAAUAGUUAUAAAGAAGAUUCCUCUUUAUUAAUAAAUAUAAUAUGCUUUCUGUUUUUGUUACUUAGUUUUAAAAAAGGUGUGAGAUCUAUUUUUUUUUAUUCCUUUGCUCACUCAUUUUAAUCAAACCAAAUAAUACACAUUUUUAAUGUUUUUUCUUUUCUUCAUUUUUCAUCGCUUCUCUCUUUCACAUGUGAAGCAGGAUAUUAAUGAUACCAAAAAGUUAAUUUAUUAGUCAUGUGUUAAUUUUUUGAGUAAAAAACAAAAAUUAAAGCAUUAUUAUCAAAAUUAUUAAAUUUGGUGUAAAAAUGCUCUUUACAUUUAUCUCAAUAAUUCAGUAAUGAUUUUAGUUUCAGUUAUGCGACUUUUUUUGAGAUUUCGUUUGUUGAGGGUUUUAUCUUUUAGAAAAAAACACAACUUUAAGACUGAGAAAUAUUCCUUCACUCCAACACAUUGUGAAUGUUGUCUUUGUCGAAAGUUUUUCUUCUCACUUUGAUUUUAGCUUUUCAAAGAGAAACUAUUUCGUCAAACUAUUCAUCCCAAGAAAAAAAAGAAUUACUUUCACCACCAUCGACAUUACACUUCAAAAACAGACAUUAGACUUCAAAAAGAGUGUGGCUGUACACUUACAAAACAUACCAUUUCAAGACUUUAAUACAAUUGCUUUUAACUAGGACAAUGAUCACAUGGUAGUUUGUUGUCCUCGUUUAACAAAGUGGACUAAAAUUAAAAAAUAAAUAUAAAAUACUCAUAGCUUUUUAUUGAAGGAAUUAAAUAUAUAAGAGCAACUUCAAGGACUUAAAAGAUUAAAGAAUGUGUAUUUACAAUAAGAGUUAACAAACAAUAAAAGUCUCAAUUUCUUUUUUUGAAAAGAGUCGAGAAGAUUCACCAAAACUUUAAGACAAUGUAUGAGUUUUUUUUUUAUAUACUAUUUUUUCAAGUUCAUUCUUAAUUAAAAUGGGACCAAACUCACUUGAAUUCUUAAAUCUCAUACUUGUACUGUCGUUUUUAUUACAAUGAGACACAAUUAUCUAAAAUCCUUGUUAGAAAAACUUUCAAUACAAGUAAUCUUAACAAUACAAGAUUCAAUCAUUUACGUGUUUGUUCACGUUCAUAACAUCAUUAGUUGUGUUCUUCUUAGAAAAAAUACUAGGAAGAUUCGUCACCAAUGCACCAUAAAUAUUCUAUAUAAAAAAAGUUUAAACAUUACCUGUAACCUUAAGUUGAUGGAUAUGCAGAUUUUUUUCUUAUAUACUAUUCUUCAAAUUUAUUCCUACUAAAUAUGUGACAAAACUUAUACUUAAAAUCCUAACACAAAGUUUGCCUGGAUGUGAAAAGAUAACGAAUUUUCAUGUUAUAACAGUAUAAGAGUAAAAAUAGUAACUAGGUAGUUGGUAGAAGAUUAUUAGUAGAAAUAUGGAAGCGCAUUAGUUUAAAAAUAGUUCAAAUAAUCUCUCAUACUCUGUUACAUUGCAGCAUUGGUUUGGUUCAAGAUUAUUAGUAGAGAUUUGGAAGAGGCUGAAUAAUGAAAAUGUAUAACUUAAUAUAGGAAGUUGUAGUAUAGUAGAAGAGAAAUGGACAUAAAUUUGUUGAUAUAUGUGUUAACUUAUCUUUCUAUAUCAGCGAAUUCUCCAUGUAAGUUAUUCUUCCAAUUCAUAUUUUUUAAUCAAUUAUUUUAAUAAUGAUUUUGGCUUCCAUAUUAACUAAAAUACUAACAAGAUAAAUAGUAUAUAAAAAAAUAAAUCUAUAAUUUUUUAAUCAAUUAUUUUAACAAUGAUUAUGAUAUUAACUAGAAUUAACAAAAUAAAUAGUAUAUAAAAAAGGAAAUCUCUAAUUUUUUUGUGUUAAUAUUUUAGGUUGAAGAGGUUGUUGAGUGUGAAGGCAGGACCAAUUGGGGUGAACUGACUAGACACCGUAUUUUAGUGAGUGUGCUUAAUUAUUGUGUCCCAUCUAUAAUAUUUAGUUAACAGAUUUUUGUGCUUGUAAUCAAAUUGUAACAAACAAAAUCUCCUUCAGAUUAAUUACUAGUAGAGAGAAGGACCGAAUGGCGAUUCUGAAACGGAGAUAGAAAGAUAGGGUUAAGGAGGGAUGGUGGAGGUGGAAGAGGGAAGAACAUUGGAGCAGAGCGACAGAGCAUAAGGAAGCUUCUCCGAAAAAAGAAAUCAUGGGUUGAAAACUCCUCUACGCUUUUCUUUUCAAACUUUCCAUACAAUCAUGGGGAGUAUGAUAUGUUUAGGGUCUUCCAGAAAUGGGCUAGAGUGAAAGAAGUCUUCAUCUCCAAGCGUCUAAAUAGGUGGGGAAGAAGGUUUGGAUUUGUGAGAUUUUUUCCUGUCCCAAAUGAGGGUAGACUUGAGAAGCAGUUAGAUCAAAUUUAUAUUGGCAAUCUAAAACUAUAUGUAAACCUUCCAAAAUAUCGGAGAGCAGAGGAUGAAGAUAAGCAUGAGAGGCCAAAUGCUUUUAGAACUGAAAAUUUUCGAGGGGUCAAUCCUCGGGGUUAGCUAAAGGAGAAAGAGGUCUGACGUGAAAAUACUAGGAGAACGUAUUAAAGGGGCAAUACCUCGAAAUCUAAACAGUCUUAUGUUGAAGCUGUUCGUCAAUCCUCCCAAGACCUAUGGAAAGGCCCUGUUUUCGAAACGACGUCAAACACUCCGUCAUGGCUGGUCCUUAGUGCAGUUGGAAGGAUGUCUUUCGAAGUCUCCCUUGUUACCUUGAGGGAAAAGUUUGUUAAAGGGGGUAUGAGCAGGGUUAAACUGAGAUUAUGGGAGAUAAUCUAGUCCUCCUAACACCAAAAGAAGGAGAAUGGUUGGAAGAAACCAUUAAGCUUAACAAUGAAUGGUUUGGUUCUUUGUUUGAAUCUAUUGAACCCUAGACUGAAUCAUAUACAACAGGCCAUAAAAUUGUUUGAGUUGUUGAAGAUGGUUGCUGCCCCUUCAAGAUUGUGUUUGAUGAAGACUUCUAUGUACAUUUCAUUUGUAUUUUGCUUUGCUUUAAGUGUGUCUUAGGUAGUGCUUAAAGGUUGUCUAAGAGUGGGCUUUUUGCUGAGUAACUCACCUCAUAACCACUGGCCAUGUGAUAAGAACAAGCAUAAGUUUUCUUAAACUGUUUUUCACAUGUUUUACAAAAAACACGUUUACUGCAUAAAAAUAAAUCUGUUCUUUUCUAAAUAAACAGAUUCAUUUUUUCACUGAUGCCUUGGCUAAGUCUUGUAAAAAUUAGAUUUUGUGCAUCAUGUAUUUUGACUAAGUCUUCUAUCUUUCAAAACGAUUGAGUUUUNNNNNNNNNNNNNNNNNNNNNNNNNNNNNNNNNNNNNNNNNNNNNNNNNNNNNNNNNNNNNNNNNNNNNNNNNNNNNNNNNNNNNNNNNNNNNNNNNNNNUCUGUUUUCGUUUUGAAAAAUAAAUCUGUUCAUCUGUAAAUGAAUAGAUUCUUUUUGUCUCUGGUGCCAUGUCAAGCUUAAACGUUUUUAGUUUUAUCUCAGCACCAGAAUGGUUGACUAAGUCUCCUCACUUAACAAAUUCUCUAACUGCUUUUGAAAAUAAAUCUGUUCGUUUUAUUUUCAAUCUGUUCAUUUUAUAACAGCUUUAACUGUUUUUCAAAAUUCUGUUAUAAGUUGGUUUUCUAUAAAAUGAAAACUUUUCUGAGUUUAAUAAUCGUUCAUACAUUUGCAAAAACAAGUUUUGACAGCAGAGAAUUAAGAGUUUACAAAGGAUUAGCAUUUGUUCUUCAAAGAUUUCAAAAAUCACAAAGUGCUUGUUCUUGGUUUGGUUCCAAAAGCUUGGUGUGAGGUGCAACUACUGUUCUAGCAAUCUUGCCUACUGGUUUAAGGCAGAUCUUUGUAUCCUCAAUCAGGUGUAGUCGUUUCACUUCUCAUUUCUUGUAAUAGUUUGGUUGAACACUCUUCUUGAUAGGUUUUCUUGAAGAGUGGGUGUGUGCUGAAAUAGGUUNNNNNNNNNNNNNNNNNNNNNNNNNNNNNNNNNNNNNNNNNNNNNNNNNNNNNNNNNNNNNNNNNNNNNNNNNNNNNNNNNNNNNNNNNNNNNNNNNNNNNNNNNNNNNNNNNNNNNNNNNNNNNNNNNNNNNNNNNNNNNNNNNNNNNNNNNNNNNNNNNNNNNNNNNNNNNNNNNNNNNNNNNNNNNNNNNNNNNNNNNNNNNNNNNNNNNNNNNNNNNNNNNNNNNNNNNNNNNNNNNNNNNNNNNNNNNNNNNNNNNNNNNNNNNNNNNNNNNNNNNNNUUUCAAUAAGAACACUGAUAAUCUGUUAAAGGCUAAGAAAACAGGUUGAGUGUGAUAGAUUGUCUCACUAAUUGUCAAGCCCUUAACUGAACCUAAAUCACAUUAAUUGGAAUUAAGGUUUGCUGUUUUCUGUGUUUCACUGUUUUUCAAUCUGAUAUCUGUGUGUGUGCAUCUGGAAAAUCUAUCUGCAUAAUCUUGUGAUUAACCUUGCUGUAUAAACGUUUUUCAAACAAAAACAGUGCUGAAAUAAAUCUGUUCAUUUUUACAUAAAUUGAUUUAUUUUCUGUAAAACUGUGUUAAACACUGUUUUUGCGAGAAAGUUUUAAAAGGUCAAUUCACCCCCCCUCUUGAACUUUGGCACUAUUAAACCCAACAUGGGUUAGGUGCUAUGGAUUACCGCUAACUUUGUGGAACAAAUACUGUUUUUCGAAAGUGGUUGGAGAAGUAGCGUCAUUGGUAGAAGUUGAUGAAUCAACCCUGUCGUGGGAAAAAUCUGGAGUACGCCCGUCUGCAGGUUAGAUUGCUUAAAUCUUGCAAAGCGGAAAUGAGGAAGGGUUUUAGGAUAAAUGGGCAUGUCUAUAACAUUACCAUCAUCGAGGAGGUUCUUAACCAAGAGAAAGGAGAAUGCACAUGCACUCAUUAUCACCUCGAUUCGUCUAAUAGCAUAUCGUCUUCGGAAACUGUAGUGGAGGAAACCUUCUUCUCCGCAAGGUCUAUAGAGGAAGGAGACGACUAUAGCCACAGUGGGAAGCAGUGGGACGCAGUUCCCAAGGGGGAAGAUGAGAUUCAGCCCCUCGUAAAGACAAAAUGGAAGCAUUUGGAGGAAAGGGCUCAGAGUGAUAGGGGGUGUCAGAAUAAAGGCGAAUUCUCUUUCACAAAUGAAGCAAAACAUGCGCAUGGAGUGUCUGAAGGAGGGACAACCUUACUAGCUAUAAACCAAGUCAAAGUUGCAUGUAAGAUGAUUCAACAAUCACUGGUUAACCUAAUGGAAGGGGUCCAGGUGUGCAAUUCCCUUCAUUUUGGGCCUAAGCAAGGUGCAACCCAAGUAGUGAAUGGAGGUGUGUGUAGUAAAGAAGUUAGUGAGGGGGGCCCAGUCAUAGGUUGUAAUGGGGAAAUUGUUGAACGGUGGUGUGCAACGGAACGCUCCGUAGCCAAGUCCUCUUCUCCGUUACUCAACAAACGAAUGAGGGAGACUGGUUAUGGUGAGCACCUUAGAGGAUUGAAAUUGCUGGAAUCCAACUCCGGCGUGUACCCAUGCUACGCAAUUCACUGAUGUAGUGAGGAAGAGGGCUCUUCGUUGGGCUGUGAAGAUCCACAAUCAAGUGACACCUCUAAGUGGCGUAAGGAAACGAAUGCAAUAGAGUUAAAUGCUGUGCACGAGGAACCAAUUCAAAUUGUAAUGAUCAGUAAAACAUCACCAGAAAUCCGAAGGCUGCGAGAUCAUGGAACGCCAAUCACUCAUCCGAAGUGGAGAUCAAACGGGGGUGUGGGAUCACUCCAUCAAGGGUUAAAUUCUUCUUCCAGGUUAAGUCACUGCUCCUUCGCAGAAUCGAACAAUGACAUUAAUCUGUGUAACAAUCGGCUUAAGCUAGAAGAUAAUGCCGCUGAAUCUGCCAGAAUAUGGGAUUGCAGUGUUCAGGGGUAGUGGGGAACGUGGUUGGAGAACUGGACCAUAUGGAGGUAAGGGACAAUGAUGUCAAAAAGGGGUCUAGGGGGAGUGUUUUAAAGAAGUUAUCAUGAUAAUUUUAAACCUCAACAUUAGAGGAUUGGGAGGAGGGGUGAAAGCACGUAUCUGAGUCAUAUUGUGGCUAAGGAGAAGGCAAAAUUUCUUUGUCUACAGGAAACGAAGACUUCCUCGUUUACGGACGUUAGAUGUUAUUCGUUAUGGGGAGAUAACAACAUCGGUUGGAUUCUUAAUGAAGGGAUCAAUGGGACAUGGAGCAUAGUAACAAUGUGGCAUAAAAAAGUUUUUUCUUAUGCAAACCAUGUAGUAGGACCCGGUUUUAUAGCAAUUAUGGGGUACCAUCUUAAAGCAAAUUGUCAAUGUGUGGUGGUGAAUGUAUAUGCAGCGUGCACCCUAAAGGACAAGAUCGUUUUGUGGGAAGCUUUGACGACUUUAAAGCAAUCAUAUUGUAAUUUGCCUUGAGUUUUAUGUGGUGACUUCAAUGUUGUAAGAAGGGAAGAUGAAAGGAAAGGGAUCAGAGGUUGUUCAAGCCAAAAGAAGGAGAUUGACGGUUUCAACAGGUUUAUUGAAAAUAAUGGUUUGUUGGACAUCCCUAUUGUUGGUAAGAAGUAUACAUGGUUCAAAGCUAAUGGCACAGCAAAUAGCAUAUUAGAUAGGUUCCUAGUGUCUAAAGAGUGGUUACAGUUAUGGCCCACGACUAAGCAGUAUGUACAGUCGAGAAUGGUAUCAGACCAUUGUGCUCUAGUAUUGAAAUUGUGCCCCAAGGAUUGGAGCCCUAAAUCGUUUAGAUCGUUUGAUGUGUGGCUUAAGGAACCAGGUUUUAAGGUUAUGGUAAAGGACAAGUGGGAAUCAUAUCAGGUGCAAGGUUAUAACAUGUCCAUUUUCAAAGAUAAGCUGAAACUCCUGAAGGCUGAUAUUAAAGAGUGGAAUAGAAAUAUCUUUGGUUGUGUGGAGUCCAACAAAAGACGUAUUUUGUCUUAAAUGGAGGCGCUAGAUGAUAAGGAUGACUGUGAAGGUUUAGAUGAUAAUGGGAGGAUGCGAAGGCUGGAAUUGCUUAGCCAACUAGGGUUGGUUGAAAAAAAGCUAGAUUCAAGUUACAGACAAAAAGCAAGAGCAAAUUGGAUCAAGCACAUGGAUAUGAAUUCUAACCUUUUCCACAAAGCAAUUAGAUGGAGAUGCCUUAAGAAUGAAGUCAAAGGUGUAGAGGUUGACUCUCAAUGGUGUGAGGAACCGCAAGUAGUCCGUAGGGAAGCAAAACUAAUGUUUGAAAAGAGGUUCAUGGCUACGCAGGACGUCGGUGUAAAUUUGGGUUCAGUGGAAUUUAAAUCCCUACCAUCGGAAAUGAGUAGGAAUAUGAUUGUUAGCUUCUCUGAGGAAGAAGUGAAGGAUGUUGUGUGGCAAUGUGAAAGGUCAAAGAGCCCAGGCCCGGAUGGUUUCAACUUCAAUUUCAUUAAGAGUUGUUGGGAUGUGAUCAAAUCGGAUGUCAUGGCAGUUGUGCAUUUCUUUCAUGAUACUGGGUCCUUCCCGAAAGGUAAGAAAAGAUGGCUUUAAACUAGAGGGGGGGUGAAUUGUUUAAAGAGGGUUUUCGCAAACUUUUCAAAACUAGAAUGAAUUUAUCUCAAGAAACAAUUGAUUCAGAAAUUCAGUUCGCCAAAACAGCAAGCAAAAGCUGUAGUACCAGAAAAACAAUCGGUUGUUUCGUGAAAACAAUCGGUUGUUUAUACCAGUAAACAACAAAAUAAACUGAAUUUAAAGAGUUAGAGAUAGAGAGAUUGUACACAGUUGUUUAUAUUGGUUCACUUCAAACCCAGAGCUACAUCCAGUCUUCUCAGAAACCCUGAGGAAAUCCACUAAGCAAUCACACCUUGAUCACUUACACAACAACCAAGAGAAUGACCUUGAACACCUCAAGAAACACACUCUCAUUGGUCAACACACCAACACUAAGAUUGUUGAUCUUGAUCCCCUCAAGAACACACAACCAAUCUCAGCAAACACAGAAACGAAUACUUGUUCAACAGAGUACAAGGAUUACACUUGUUACAGAAGAUGAUCUGAAAUCAAUACAAGCAGAAUCCUAUUCCAUACACUUUGAUCAAUCACAAACUCUUAGCAAUCUCAGCUCUUUGAAAAACUCAAAAACUAAAAACUUUUUUCAAAGAUUCUUAAAUCUCAAAUCUGUUUUUCUGAAUAUAUUCAAAGAUGUAGUUUGUUAUCAAAUCUUAACAAACUCUUAAAUUGCAUUAAAAGAUUGGUCAAAGCAUUUAAUGACUGGAGCGUAAGCAGUUAAAUCAUUUAAAGCUCAGUCAAACAGAAAAUAGUUUUUCUGUUAUGGUCCCAAAACAAACAAUUGGUUGUUUCCUCAAAUCAAUCGGUUGUUUUGGUACUUUAACAGUUCAACCAUUUAAAAACAGUUUUCAAUCUUUUCCUCAAAACACCUAAGUACAAACAAUCGGUUGUUUCGAUAAAACAAUCGGUUGUUUUAACUUAGUUUAAAAACAUUUUACUUUCACAAAGAUUGAGAAUGCUAAUACUUUAGAUUUAAUCAAAGGGUGGAUUAGAACAUAUAAACUACCCCAGAACUAAGCUAAACCAGCACAGCAACAUCAAGCACAACCAAGGCUUCAACAUCCUUCAAAGGAUUUGGAUUCUUCAAAACUUGAACACCACUUGGUUCAACAUUAUGGACAGUGUUGUUAUGGAAAACGAAAUUCUAGAGGAGAUUAGGAGGAAGACGAAGAGCGGGGUAUGUUUCAAGGUGGAUUUUGAAAGGGUGUAUGAUUCAGUAAGGUGGAGUUUUUCUGCUUGAUAUGUUGCGGAGGUUGGGUUUUCAUGACAAAUGAAUAUUAUGGGUUAAAGGGUGUAUGGUCUCGUCAUCGGUAUCUGUACUGGUCAACAGAAGCCCCACUGAGGAAUUCAAACCUUCUAGGGGGUUGAGACAGGGCGAUCCCUUGGCCCCUUUUCUGUUUUUAGUGGUUGCUGAAGGUCUUGCAGAGACGGUGAGACAAACUCUGAGGACGGAUGUACUUAGGGGUGUAAAGGUGGGAAUGAUAACACACUUUUCAUGUGUGAGGACUCUUUUGAUAAUAUCUUUGCAAUCAAGGCCAUACUCCGGUGUUUUGAACUUGCCUCAGGUUUGAAAGUCAACUUUCAUAAAUCAAAGUUGGCAGGAAUUAGUGUGGAUAGUUAUGCCAUGAGUACCUAUGCGAAGACAUUAAAUUGUAAUAUCAUGAGCCUUCCUUUCCAAUAUUUGGGGGUACAAGUGGGAGGAAACCCGAGGAAGAAACAGUUCUGGGAGCCGAUAAUAAGGAAAAUUGAAGCUAGACUUAGUUCAUGGAAAGGGAGAUUCCUCUCCAUGGCGGGUCAGAUUUGUCUGCUAAAAUCGGUGUUCACUGCCAUACCUUUGUUCUACCUUUCUAUCUUCAAAGCCCCUGCAACAGUGUGUAACAGAAUCAGGAGUAUUCAAAGAAAAUUUCUUUGGGACCGGGGAAGACAAAAUAAAUCGAUUUCUUGGGUUAGUUGGGACAAUGUGUGUAAGCCCCUACAAGAAGGAGGUUUGGGAGUAAAGGAGAUUAUGAGUUUUAACUCAGAUGUUUUGGUUAAGUGGAAAUGAUGGCUUAUGACUGGAGAGGGAGGAAAAUGGAAAGAAGUUAUUGUAUCUAAAUACGGUACAACAUCAGACAAAAGUCAGGUUAAGUUGAAGUACCAAUCUAGGUGGUGGAGGGAUCUAGUUAAGAUAUGUGACGAUGGGAAUGAAAAAUGAUGGUUCCAAAAGGCUUUUGAGUGUAAAGUAGACAACGUGAUCACAGUGCGGUUCAGGGAGGACGUGUGGUUACAAACCACUACUCUAAAAACAUUGUACCCUAGACUCUACUCCUUGUCUUGUGAUAAAGGUAAGACGGUGAGGGAGGUAGGAAGAUGGGAAGAGGAUAAAUGGUGGUGGGGUUUGAAUUGGAGAAGGGAUAGGUUUGAAUGGGAGUCUAAUUUGGAGUCAGAGCUGCUAUCUAUACUGAGUAUGGCGACUAUGUGCAAGGAAGCCCAGGACCGUCUUAUUUGGAGAGGGGACCCGAAAGGUAUGUUUACGGUUAAAUCAGCCUAUUCUAUUAUGGCCAACCAUGUUGAUACAAGGGGAGAUGUGUUUAGUAGUUUAUGGCAAGCAAAAGCCAAACCUAAAGUACUUACCACCGCUUGGAGAAUCCUUCUGUACAAAGUUCCAACUAGAGCUAAUCUCAUAAAAAGGGGAGUGAUUGUGAAUUUGUCUAUGUGUCUGUUAUGUAAUUUGUCUGAAGAAACUUCUCAACAUCUCUUCCUUGAUUGUGUAUUCGCACAAUGUGUCUGGUCAAAGUGCUACCGUUGGAUUGGUGUUUUGGGGGCCCAAAACAAGGGUAUUAAAAAUCACUUGAUGAACUUCUACUUAAUUCACCUUUCUAAUAAACAAAACCAGGUGUGGGUAGGCUUGUGGGCGACAAUUGUUAGUUGUAUUUGGGAUCAAAGGAACUUGGUAGUUUUCGAGGAAGGGGUCUCUGAUGAAGAUGAGAUUUUUUAGAAUGCUCAACUACAGUCAUGGUUGUGGUUAAAACACAAGGUAGUUGGUUUCUCCUAUGCUUUCUCUGACUGGCUUUUGAACCCUAACCAGUGCCUUCUAGCAGUGGUUUGAGUGUGCUAAUUCCUGGGCAGUGAAUGUAGUUCCUCUCAAGGAGUACUUGGAAAUGGUCUAGCUGUUAUGAUGUGGUUUUUCUGUCAAGGGAAUUGCUGCAGAAAUAGAGCUGAGAACAUCGGGGAAGUAGGCUUAAUGCUAGCUGAAGUUGUAGAAGUUAGGGGGGCAGCAAUUUAUCUCUGACAUUUAAAUUCUAGAAGUAAAGUUGCAGUAGUGUGUAGUGCAGUUGGAAGCAGAUUGUGAGGAGGGGUUAGCAGGGUGUUAGGACAAUAAGCAUAAGGUUGCUGGAGUAUGGUCUUAACAGUAAUGAAAAGUGGAGAUGGUACAAGGUUUUGGAGUUAGUAAGAGGGACUGUAGUGGUAAAUGAUCAAUCUAUCAUUUUGGCUGCUGAAUUAGUGUGCAACAGGGGCUUCUUCCUUAGAGUUUUUUUAUCAGAGCAAGCAUUACCCACAGAAGCAUCCCUUCCUAAGUGCUAAAACCUGGUAAACCUUAUAAGUACUGAUUAUUGCAUAGUGCUUUCGAAAGUCAGGCAGUUUGGUAAUCUCAAUAGGUUGCUGCAUCCAGUUUUUCUGGUUUUUAGUGUUGUUUUCUGUUAUGCUUGGUUCCCUUAGAAUGUUUUUUUGGUUUAACAGGUUUUAUAUACCCUGAAAAUUGCUUCAGGGUUGUUAGUUUGGUUUGUUGUUCAACACAUGAGGUUGUAGCCCUCUAGGCUUUUUGUAUACGGGUUGGGAUACCCCUGAAGUAUCCCUGAAAUUUAUUUUAUUCAUUGUUGAGCAAAAAAAAAAAGAAUGAAAACCUAAUUAGUUGCCCGUGGACGUAGGUUGCAGAUUGGCGAUCGAACCACGCUAAAUCAUGUAUUGUUAUUUUCUCCAAUUGAUUCGUAAUUGUUUGUGUUGUUUCCUCGUGCGUUUUUUUCCAUCAAAGUUCUUAUUUUUUUAUAUGGUUUGUUUAUAAUUUAUUAGUUUUCAAUUUUUUUAAAAACUUAAUAAAUUGAUUUUCUUUUCUAGACUCCUAAAUAAGAUAAUUAUAGCUUGAUAUUUGGCAUUACUAUAGAAUCAUGUUGUAAUCCUUUUCACAAAUAUAGUUUACCUAUACAACACGGAAAAUAGUAAUUUUGAGACGAUUGUGUGAUUAUAUAUCCAUUAGUUUUGAACUUUAGUAGUUAAUAUUUUUACUAAAUUCUAUUGAAUUCUUAAAGGGUCCAAAUAAAACUAAUUCCCCGUAGACAAUGAUUUUACUUUAGGUUUAGGAUUUGUAAUUUAGGUUUAGGAUUUGUUAACUGAUGAUUUUGGCUAAGUUUUAAAAAACACUCCAAAUUGCAACUUGAGAGUGUAUAUAAAUAAAGUUAUGGUUUUAUAUCCCCGGAAAUAUAAUUUACUUAUAAAGUAAUAUUUUUUAAGAAAUUACAACAAAAUGACAAUAAUUUUAACUUAAUGAACAAGGGUGUGAGCAACCAUUGUGGUCUCUUUCUCCAGAUGGGACAAAUUAUUGGCUUCCUCAAGAAUACACUCCAUUUUAAGGUAAUAAUUUGUAUGUUGAAUAUAACAUUGAAACCUAUUUAUCAUAUUAUGAACACAAUUUUAAGUAACUUUUUACCUUUUCCCGGAUUAAAGUUUCCAAAAUUUUAAGGAAUAAAGUUUUUAUAUCAGGGAAAUACGAAUAAGAUGAAUAAUAAAAUUUUGUGGUGUGAAAUCUUUUAUAUAAGUUUCCAAAAUUAUAUAAGUUUUUAUAGAAAUUGGUGAAUGUGGUAUGAAGCCUUUCUUGCCUCUUGCUCAUAAGUUGCCAAAAUGACUUGUGGUUGGAAGCCAUGCAAAUAAUUUAGGAUGUUAGUGGCUUCACAAUAGAAUGGCUAAUCUUUUCUUUCUUUCUUAAACUCCCGUCUCUUAUUAUUUUCCUAAACCAUUUUCUGUAUCUCUAUCGAGUAGAAAUACUAAAAAAUAUUAUUAAGUAGAAAUUAAUUUUAAAGAUAAAAAUAAUUAGUUGUAUAUUAAUUAAAUUAAAUAGUAUUUUAGAGAUUAAAAAAAUGACUGGUAUAAGUUUCUAAUAAAUAGUUUCUAAAUUAGUAUAUAAUUAACUACCAAAUUUGUAACAUGAAAAUUUUUAUAAAAAAAAACUACCAAAUUUUAGUUUCCAACUUUAUAAUUUAGAAACUAUUUAUCAAUAAAAACUAGUUUAAAUAUAAUAAAUUAUUUAGUCUUUAAAAUAAUAUCUAAUUUAGACAAUAUAUAAUUAAUUAUUUUUUUAUUCUAAAAUUAGUUUUUAUUUAAUAUUUUUCUAAUAGUAAAAAGUAUGCUAUUGUUUAUUUUAUUUUAUUAAAUUUCAACAUUUUUUAAUUAUCACAACUCACAUCUUGAAAAAAGCUGACAAAAACAGGGGAGAUUAAGUUACUAUUAGAUUAACUUUUAAGAUGAUUAUUCUUCAUUGUUAUUUUUUUUUAUCUUCUUUUGAUUCAAUGAUUUUAAUGAGUAAUUCUUUUUUAUAUUGUUAGACUUACAAGAAAAUAUAAUAUAAUACAAGGAUGUAGAGUAACUAUUUUAAAGUUACUCUUAUACUAAUUUUUAGCCUUUUUUCCACAAUUUGUAAAUGUGGAAAAAUUACUCAAAAUAUAAUUUUAAUAUUUCUAAUAAGUAAAUCACAUUUAAUAUUUUUCUUAAAGUUGUACAAAAAAAUUUCGAUUUUUUCAAAAUGGACAAUUUUUUUUCCAGAAAUGAGUAAAUCACCAACUUUUUUAUCAAAGAGAAAUCACCAAUCAUACCUACGAUUUAAAAAAAAAUCAUAUAUGCAAAAUACGAUUUCAAUAAAAAAUCUUAUUUCAUAUAUACCUUUUGUAAUAUUAUAAUAAUAUAUAAACUUAAAAAAAUAAUAACUUGAAUUCGUUUAUUUCAUAUGUUUAUAAUAUUUCAAUAUAUAAUAAUUUUAAUAAACAUUUUUCAAUAUUUAAAAUUGAAAAAAAUUAAAAUAAUAGAAAAUUAGAUAAGUUUAAUUUACAAUUAUAACUUUUUUAUAAAUAUAAUUAAAAAAAAUUAUUUUUUUAUAAAAUAUUUUUUUAACUAAAUAAAUUUUUAUAAAAUAGUUUUUUAUUAUACGUUAAAGUUAUUUUGAAUUCUUAAUAAAAUUAAUAAUAUAAUAUUUCAAUAAUAAAAAAUUCUUAAUAUUAAUUCAUUACCACAAUUAUGAAAAACCACUUUAUAUCCCAACAAAAGUUAUUUGUUAGAUAGCCUAUGUGAUGCCGAUAAUAAAAAAAAAGAUGGCCCAUCUGAUACAUGGUUUUCUAAAAGGCUUUGCAAAUUUUUUUUAUAAAUUCUAUUUAACCUGCCUUCCAAAACUAACUUGUUACUUAAAUCAAAUCUCUAUAAGAUUCAUCUAGCAAAAAACAGAUACUUAAAAUCUCUUGAUUAUUACAUUCUAAAAUAUAUAAAUUAUUAAUUCACUUUUUUUAAAAUAAAAACUUUCAUGUUAAGCAUCAAUAUGCAACUUAACAUCUCAGUUAUGCUGACAUAUCAAGUAACAACAAUCAUUUGUCAUCGCAUGAAAAAAAUAUUAUUAAAAAAUAAAAAAAUAAAAAAAAUAUGGGGGAUUAGACCAAAACUCAUAUGUUAACAAAAACAAUACAUAGGUAAACUAUACCUAUUCAUAAAGAAUUCUAAGAACAGACUAGUCUAUUAUACCAAUGAAAAGAUUCUUUAUGAAUAAAUCCUAAAUUAGCCAACUUAUCAGCACACACAUUCCCUUCAUGAAAAAUAUGAGUAACCCUAAACCUGAUUUUCCCACAAUAAUUAAGAUAAGUAUUCCAUCGAUUACGAAGCAUCCAAGGAACAUUAGUCCUAGCAGUAAACGUAGCACAAACCAAAGUAGAAUCACAUUCCAACCAUACAUUAGUAAACCCCAUCUUUUGAGUUUCCUCUAUAGCAUGUAUAACUCGAUAAAACUCAGCAACCAAAGCAGACUGAGCUUCAAGAAACACAAAGAAAGAUCCAAUAAAUUCCCCUAUACUCCCACGGAAAAUACAUUCACAAGUAGCAAGACCACAAUAUGCCCUAGCAACCCCAUCAAUGUUAAUUUUCACCCAGCCUGGUGAAGGAAACUCCCAUCUAACAGGAAGAUGACAAAGAACUUUACCAGUACGAGUAUUAAUACAAAAAAACUUGAUCACAUUGAAAUCCAACAUAUCAUUCUUUAUUGAAGCUUUAGACGACUUACCCACUAGACGAGUUAAAUCUUUAAUAACUGAAAUAGCCGUAGAAACCUCAAUCUUAUCUUCAAAACGAGCAUAAUUUCUCAUACGCCAUAUCAUCCAAUUAGAAAAAGUUAUCACAACAAGCUUAAUCAAUUUAACCAAAGGAUUACCAUCACUCUUAAUAAAAGAGAGAAGAUCAUCCUUAUUAGAGAAAUGAGAAGUAGGAAAAAUCUGUCGAACCCAACUUCAAAUAUGCAAAGCAUUAGAACAUUCAAAAAAUAAAUGUUGAAUAGAUUCCUCGUACUUUUCACAAAGCGUACACAUAGAACAAAUAUGCAAACCUUUAUUUUGAAUACGCUGAUCUGUAGGAAACCGUCAGUGAAAAACUUUCUAAAGGACAAGAGUUUUGGAAGACAAAAGAUAUGAAGACCAAAUAAAUUUACCCCAACCAUAGGGAACUCCUGGAUCCAAGAAAAAAGUCCUAGCUGAUUUAAGAGUGAAACGACCAGACUCAUCUAGAAUCCAAUUAGGAAUAUCCUGUUCCACCCUAACCAUGAUAUGACUAAAAAGAUGUGGCAUCUACUGUAAAGAAAAUGGAAUAUUCCAAUCACCACAUGAUGGAAGAGGCCCCAACAACAAUCCUAUCAAAGGCCACCAAAAUGCUACAUUUAAGGCAAUCACUAGAGUCAUAGUCAAAGAGGGGUCAAGGGGACAUUUUUACAUGUCAUAGACUCUAGUGUGAGAUAGUUCUUCUUCCUUUUCUAGUUAAAGUAGCAUAGUUUAAAUCUUUUUGUAAAUGUGAUGAAACAUACCUAAUGGGCAUAAAUUCUAGACCAACCACACAAGGAAUACUUCUGGAAUUUACCUCCAUUUAGGCGCCACCUCACCCAUGUGCCAUGUGCUCCAUGUGCUUCCAUGUGCUAACACUUGCACGUAAUUUGGCUAGCAUUUCAUUUGUAUUUGGCUCUUCAAAUUCCAGCCCUCCAAUCCUAUAUAAGGAGGUGCUUGGCUCUCAUUUUGUAAGAUUAAAUUGAGUAUUGUUAUGCUGCCAAACUUGAGCCAUACUUUACACCCUUGCCUAGAAUUUAGGUCUUAAUCUUCAAUCCUUUCACCUUCCAAAGGGGCUGGCCAAACCUCCCUAAAUUCCUACUCUUCAUGCACCUCCAAGGCAGCUACACCUCCUAGGAGGGCCUUGUUCCAUCAACAAACCACAAAGCUUCCACAAACCACCAAAAAACCACAAAAGAGAAGAGCUCAAUGCCAUCACCACAUGUCCAAAACUGAGAGAUUGUAUUCGGAAUGCUAGCACUAUCAGAUAAGGCUACAAUAUUUGUUAAAGAAUUAGUACCAUACUAUUUAUCAUUCCAAAAAUUAAUAAAAGAACCUGUACCAACAGUCUAAGAAGUAUAAUCAAGUAUAGUAGAAUAAAACUGUUUAAUUCCAGGGCAAAGAGAUGAGGAUCUAUAAACCAUUCGAAAUUCGUAUUUUGAUUUAAGAACCCUGACUUUUAAGGGCAAAGACCAAGGCCUGUUGCUAUAAGCAAAAUUCCAAGCAAGCUUAAGAAGAUAUGCAUUAUUUUCAUGGUGAAGGUUAAUAAUCUUCAAACCUCCAUUCUCAAGGGGAGAACAAAUUGUAGCCCAAUUAACAAUAGUUAUACCUUUUUACAUAAUAUCACCAGUCCAAAUAAAAUUUCGACACUAUUGCUCAACUUGCUUAAGAAGAGAGACAAACCAUUUAUACAAAUUAAAACUAUAAGCUAGAAGACUCGUAAUCACUGUAUUGACCAACUGAACCCGACCCAUCAUUGUAAGAGAUUUACUUUUCCAAGAAGCAAGCUUUAAUUUGACUUUAUCAGCCAAAGGUUGAAGAAAACGACCCCUUGGAGUACCAACAAAGAUAGACACUCCUAAAUAAGUGAAAGGAAAACAACCAUGACUACAAGAAAAAAUACGCUGAAUUUUGGUGACAAAUCUUACAGAAUUAUUCAUGGUGAAAAAACUACCCUUAGAAUUAUUAACAUAUUUACCUGAGAAAUCACCAUAUGUUUUAAAAAAAUACUCAAAUUUCUAAAGGUGUGUUUGUUUCCAAGUAUGAAGAGGGAGGAGGGAGGAGGGAGUAAGUGUUUUUUGUGUCUGUUUCAAUAGUUUUGAGGGUGGGGAGUGGAUGGGGGAGAUGGGGGAGGUCUUUUUUCAUUCUGGACAAAAUGAAGAGAUUUGUGGGAAUUUAUGUAGGAUUGUUGUAUUUUACCCAAAUAUCCUUGUGCAUACAUUUUAUUACAAUAUACAAAAUUAAAUAUUACAUAAAUUUAUUUAUAAUUUCAAAAAUAUUUAAUUAUACUAUUAAUAACAACAUAGAAUUAUAAAUAAUGAAAAUAAAAAAAUAAAAAAUAAAAUUAUAAUAUCAACAAAAUAUAUAUAAUUAUAUAAAAUAACAAAUGAAUAUAAUAAUAAAUAUUAUUUUCAUAAAUUUUAAUAUAUUUAAUAAAUUUAUUUCAAUUUAACACAAAAAUAUUUCCUAUUAUAUUUUUUAAUUUUUUAUCAAAAAAUAUAAGUAAUUAUGGAUAUUUUAUAUUAGAAAAAUUUAAUUAAUUCAAACCUACAAAAAAAAUCAUAAUUCAUUACUCAAAUAGUUUUUAAUAACAAGGAUAAAUUUGUAAACUUACAAUAAAUCAUCCUCACAAAUUCACUCUAUCAUCCCUCAAUCCAAACAACCUCACAUAUCCUCAUACAUCUUCUCUAAUCCUCCCAAAUCCACCCUCUCCCCUCCCCACAAAUUCACUCCUUAAUCCAAACAUAGCAUAAGAGACUUUUUAUCUGCCCUACACAAAAGAAAAAUGUCAUCCGCAUAUAAAUAUGAGAGGGAGUGAAAAAACCUUGUGGACUAGCCAUAUGUAAUAUCUUCUUAUCAUUCACAAGCUUUGAGAGACCUCUACUAAGAACUUCCUCUGCAAGAUAGAAAAUAGAGGAGACAAAUGAUCACCUUGUCUAACACCUCUACUACAAGGAAAAAAAAUCACCAAACUGGUAUUUAUUCUUAUAGAAAACAUAGUUGAACGGAGAAUAGUACUAAUCCAACCGACAAACGAGGGGUGAAAACCAAAGCGUGACAAAACUAAUAGUAAAAACCUCCAACUCAGAGUGUCAAAGGCUUUGUGAAUAUCAACUUUGUAAGCCACAUUAGCUCCGUGAACCUUUUUAGAAAGCAAGUUAAUAGCUUCAGAAGCAAUACCUAUACAAUCCUAAAUUUGUCUGCCCUGCACAAACCCAUACUGAUUAGGAGAAAUAAUUCUGGUAGCCACAAGAGCAAGCCGAUCGGCCAAAAUCUUGGAAAUAAUCUUAAAUUUAAAUUUGGCAACAACAAUUGGCAUGUAAUCUUUAAUGGAUUUAACACCUUGAAUCUUAGAAAUAAGAGAUACCACACUACUGUUCAUUCUAGGAAGAACCCAGUUUUGUUUAAAAAAUUGUUGGACAACAUUGCAAGCAUCUGUCCCAAUAAUUUCCCAACAAGAAUGAUAGAAAACACCACCAAAACCAUCAGGACCAGGAGCACUAUUAUCAUUAAGGUUAAAAAUAACAUUUUUGAUUUCCAAAAAAUCAGGACAUUAAUCAACAUCAUAUUCUCCUCAAAGGAAACCAACUCAGGAAUAUAACUACCAAUAAAAUCUUCCAUAUUGCCUGUAUCCUGAUCUUGGGAAAUGGACUCAGCAUAAAGAGUUUUAUAAAAGUCCAAAAUAUGUUCCUCAAUGAGUUUAGGAUCCCCAAUAACAACAGAUGAUGAACAUUCAAACCAAGUUCAGAAUGAUGAUGUUGGCACAGAGCAGAACAAAAUCACAAGAGGAGAUUGAUACUUAUCAUGCACAAUGAACAAAAAACUGGUUUUAUCUUUUUGUUUAACUUUACUUUCAUUUUAAUUUAGUAAGUUGACUUUAGCAGUUUAGUUUAAUAUUUCUUACUUUAGCUUUUGUUGAUGGCAAGCUUAAGUUAGUAUAGUGGUUGAUGUUUGCAUAUUUUGUGAAGUGAAAUCUUGUAUAUAUAUAGAUGAUGGUAUAAUUGUUUUUUGGAAAAAGAAAUCAAACCAUAGUUCUAAAUUAGAACAACCAAAUGGAUUGAUCAGGGACUUAAUUUGAAAAAAGAAUUUGUGGUUGGAACCAUCACUCAAAUUGAGAAAGGAUAGUAAUGUGUAAAAGUUGGAACAAUGUAAACAAUUGAAAGCAAUGACUGAGAACAAAUGAGGAAUUGAAAUUAGCCAACCAAGUGAGAGUGUGAAACCUUUAAACAGUUUGAGAGACUUUCACUAGUGAAGAGUUAAUUGAGGUUGCCUAAUUUUCUAGUCAAUUUACAUCACAAAAUCAAAUAUUGAGAUGAUUGAGGCAUGUUUAAUAAAGUUGGAGGUGAGAAAACUUAAAGCCAAACAUCUAACUUUUGCAAUAUAUGAUGAAAUGUGCAGAAAAAUAACCCUUUUUUUAGCCAAAUUUGUUUUAUUGCACCCUAGCUUCUGAUAUACAUAUAUUGUCCUACCUUGUGGUAUGCUAACAAAAGGAGAGCAUAGGUGCAAUUCAAAUUUCUAUAAUUAAAAGAAUUGGGUUUGGUGUGGCUGUUGGGAUUUUGAGAAUGAAAAAAAAAAGAGAAAAAAAAGGGAAUGACAAAAUUAUCCAAAUUCUCAUUCUCUUUUCUAAAAAAAAGAAAAAAAAAGAAAAGGGGAUUACAAGAAUAUAAAAAGAAGCAAUGUGAAUGAAUUUUAUGGAAGGGAUAAUGGAUAGCACAAUUAGAAAGUGAAUUGCAAAUAUGCUAAUCUUUUGUUAAGUGUGCAUUAUGUUAUCCUGGAAAAACCAAAUUUUCUUUGUAACCCAACCUCAUUACAACCUGAAAAAGACCUCAAGUUCUAUGUUUGUGAAAGUGUUUGUAAUCAACUGGAAAUGAAGGGCAACCUUAAAUUAACUUGGAAUUCAGUGAAAAAAAAAAGAGGGAAAACACUCACCAGUGAGAAAUGAAGAGAGAAAUUCCUUAGUUUGAUUCUUAGUGAAGAGUAACAAUUGUUUACCUUGGAAAUUGAAUACAUUCUUAUCCUGUCUUGGUUUGAAUUGAUAGGAAACACCAUAACUUUUUGUUGAAUUAUCUUGUGCUCUUUCCAUGAAGUUGUUCUGAUAUUAAACUAUAGAUUUGAUUUCUAAGGAUUUUGGGGAAGAAUGAACUCAUUUUUUGGGAUUCAAUUACUUUGCUUGAGGACAAGCAAGAUUCUAGGUUGGGGGGAAUUUGAUAAGUGUCAAUGUGUAGUUUUUAUGAUUGAGAAAAUUGAACACUUUGGAACUUAAUUGUUGCUUAAUGUAAGAAAAUUAUCCUAAUCUAAGAAUUAUUGAAUCUGAUUAUAUAUUUUUUGAACCAAGAAACAAAUGAAGAAAUUUAAUCUCAAUUUUUGUGUAAAUUGCAGAUGAAUAUGAAACAUUGAAAGAGUGUAUUCAAGCUGGCAUUGAAAGAAAAAAAAGAGUAAAAACUUAAUUGGAUCACAAGAAGAUUUAGCUCAAGCUAGAGGAUUUAGCUCAAGCUAAAACUGUCCAGAGUUGAUUAAAGGUGCAGUACAAUUCUAGCCCAUACUAGAAUUGCUAGCUCAAGCUAAAACUGUCCAGAGUUGAUUAAAGGUGCAGUACUGAUUUAGCUCAGGCUAGAAUCGCUAGCUCAAGCUAAAAAGGCACCGAAAGAUCUAGCUUAAGCUAAAACGGACUAGCUUGAGCUAAAGUUGAUUAUAUAAAUUUUGAAACAUAACUCAAAACCAGCGGUGGGAAACAGAUUGGGUUUUUAUAGAGAGAGACUAGUGAGAGAAAGAGAAGAAACCUCUGUUCUUAGGAGAAGAACUUGCUCAGAUAAGCCCUUCUUAUGCAAUCCAGAUCAAGAAUGAAGAUUGGAGGAGCUGUCAUGAGUGGCUAAGUUCUUUCUAACUUGGGAUUGAAUGUAAUUUACCUUGAUCAAAUGUAUUCUUGGUGAUAUAUAUAUAUAUAUAUAUAUAUAUAAUUCUCUUUUCUACUUGUUCUUGGUAUUUUCGUUUUAUGCUUAUUGCUUGAUUCUGUCUGAUCAAUAGAGUCUUGAUUUUGAUCCUUAAAUUUAACUGGAAAGUACCUUUAAGGAUUUGAAAUAAACGAAAAUACUUGAUAACUUGUAAUGUUAGGAAUAGAUUCCAGGUUAUUGAUUGCAUUAUAAUUUUGUUCCUAAAGCUGGAUGAUUUGUUAAAUAUCUGAGGAAUCAGUGUUUGAGAAAUUAUCUUAUGAAUUUCAUCUGUGAGGAAUCAAGAUGAAUGACUUUAAAUUAAGCAUCAAGAAUAAGUAGUUUUGAGUAAAAGGCAUACAAGAAAGCUCAUUAGAAUUAAUUCAAUCAAGGAAUUCAUUACAAGAAACCUGAUUAGGAGUCACCCCUUUUAUAGUCAUCUACCGAGAACACAACAUUAAAAUCUCCCAUAAUACACCAAGGCCCUAUGAAGGAACUAAGCUCCCUCCACAAAAAUUGUCUAGCCACGUAUGUGUUGGCACCAUAAACACCUGCAAAGCUAAAACAUUUAUCAUGCAAAUUGCAAGUUACAGAAAUAAACUAUUCAUUUACCAAGAAAUUUCGGACCAGAUUAGGAACCGACAAACACCAAAGCUUAGCAACUUUAUUAACAAUAGGACAUGUAGCCACCAAAUGCAUAUUAACAGAUUUGAAAAGGACUUCAAAAGCAUUAGUGUACGACACCAUAUGUUUAGCAAGAAAAACCAAAAGGGUUUUAUGUAGUUUAAGUAAACUAAUCAACAUCUCCACAGUUUUGUGGUUUCCCAGUCCUCUAACAUUCCAAAAAAAUGAAGAGAUCUUCAUUGCGACGUUGUGGAGAGAACUGUCUUAGCAGUUUUUUUGGAUUUACCAGUCCCCUUAGGUGGUCUCCCUGGUUUUCUUUUAGUGCUAAUUAUUUCCUCCCCAAUAUCAUUGGCAUCCUCCUCCAUCUCAUUAGGAUGAACCCAAAAUUUUGAAACAACAUUUGUAGUUUCCAAACCAUCAAGAGAGGAAAAGUGAUUUUGCAAGACCAACGAUAGUGCUUUAACAUCCCCAAGAGGCUUAGCCUUCCGAGGGGAGGUAUGAGGUGAUGAAGGUGGUACAAUUACAAUAGCAGAGACCUCCAAAUGAUGACCAUCAAUUAGAUUUGUAGUUGGUAUGUUAGAACCUGCAGGUGAUUUAUCCCUCCAAGAAGAGGUAGGAACAACCACAGGAGCAGAGACCUCCACAUGAUGAUCAUCAAUAGAAGUUGUAACAAUAUAAGGAUCACCUCCCACAUUCGUAGAUUCCAAACCCUCGAGAGAGGAAAAAUGAUUUUGCAGGACCAACGAUGGGGGUGGUACAAUCAUAAUUGUAGAGAUCUCCACGUGAUGACCAUCAGUUGGAGUAUUGAUUGGUGUUGUAGAAUCUGCAGGUGAUUUAGCCCUCCGAGGAGAGGUGGGAUGCAACGAAGAUGGUACCGCUACAAGAGCCCGAACCUCCACAUGAUGAUCCUCAAUAGGCGCAUGAGACUCUGAGCCCUUCGCUUGAAUAAUAGUAGGUAGCAUCCCUUGAUCUGGGAAAUCUGAAGUGUGAGGGGACAACUCCUUCCUGGAUUCAUGAUCCGAGGCAUCCUCAAGAGGAGACAUAUCAGCAAAAUAAUCUUCCACUCCGCCUGGUUUAUCAGAAGCAAUGUGGCCCAAGGGGGACCCUGCAUUAGCCCCGCCUGGAACAUCAAUGUUCAAUGUGAAACUUUCUUCCGAUACUCUUUCCGUUGUUUAGGAGCCGCGGUCCUCUCCAAAUUCCGUUCAUCAAAAAUUUUCUUCUUAGAAGGUUUAUGUUGAGGCCCAGAAACACUACCCUGAGCAUGAACCACCCAACACUUAGCAAGCUCAUCCCCUAUCAUCUUACAAUGAGAGCAAAAAGGAGGAAGCCAUUCAUAUUUCAUACCAGCUACAAAAGUAUAGUUUGGACGUUCAACCUAGAUGUGAUCGGGAAGAAUGGAAAACAUAUCAAUAUCCACCAGGACUCUAGCAAAUAUACCCCUAUUCUUUCUCAUAGUACUCUCAUCCAAAGACAAAGGAGUACCAAGACCUCUGAUGAUGGAAAAAAUCGCCCUUGGUCUCCAAUACUCCAAAGGCAAUUUGUAGAUUUGAAUCCAGGUCUGAGUUUUGGUACUCUUCAUAGUAGAUGGAACAAAUUCUAUUGUCCAGGCAAACAAUCUCAAGAAACCCGGAGAUAACUUUAAGGAACCCAUUCUGAGGGCCCAUCGCAUGUCUUCUAAAGAAGCGAACUCAAACCCAUAAAAACCCUUUCCAAAAGGGAUUUCUUUCCACAGUCCAAGAGCCUUCCACAUCGGUUGCAACUUUUUAGUUAAAUCCAGGUGUGUGUGAGGUUUAUCUCCCUUAGAAAGAAUAACUUGACCAUGUAGAUGGGUCUUGCAAUCCUUAAGUUCAGCCAAAUAAUCUGCCUCAUCGAUCCGGACCAUAAUCAUGUCUCCCUUAAUAUAAGGAGUAGGUAACUCGAACAAAGGAAUAGUUCCCAAAGCAAAAGUUUUCCUUUGGCCAGGCUUAGCAUACACAUUCUUCCCAAAAGAUACGUCACAAUUCCAUGGGAUAAGGAAGCCUUAGAACCCUCCACCAUUUCCAACAACUAACAAGUUACCACCAUGAACCGCAUCGUGCACACACCGCACCACCGUCGCACACCAACCACACCAGAACGUCGCGCACUCCAGACCACCACUGCGUUACCGCCUUCGCCCAAGCUGUCAUACGUCCAUCGCGCUCGGAACACCACUGUGUGAGCCGCCGUUGUCAUAGACCACCCCGAGCAGUCCCGCACAACGCCGCCUCCACCCAGCACGACCAGCGUCGCCGCCACCAGCGCAAACAGCGUCGCACCACUAGCAGCGCCGCCGCCCCUAACGCAAAAGAUGCGACCUGUUGUGUCGCCGCGAGUCUGGGCCACCACGAAGCUCCACGGAACGUGUCUCUAGGCCACCGCGAAGCAGAUUUGGGUCUUCUAUUGGCACCGUCACAAAGCUCCACAGAACGCAACUCUGUGUCGCCGCGACUGGGAUUGCACCGCCGCGAAACCCAGGCUUCUUUUUAACCUUCGACCUUUUUUUUAGCUCCACGGACUCGUCCUUUUACUUCAACUAUCUCUUGAUUUCAUGUAUUAAUUCAAUUUUUUUAAAAUUAUUUAUGACUAAUCUUUAUUAUUAUCGUCUUCAUCACCACUGUUAUUAUAAUCAUAUAAUCAUAUGGUGCUUGCAAUAGUAGCAAAUACAAUGUUAAGAAAUAGUUCUAGUCGUGGUGGUGGCAAAAAAAGUGGUUUUCAUAAUUGUGGUAAUCAAUUAGACAUUAAUGAUAAUGGUAGUCAUGCUUUUUAAAUUCAAUGAUGUAGUGUUGGAGAUAACAAUGUUAGUGACGACAACAAUAAUCAUAGUGACAUUGUGAAAACAGAAAAAACACAAGAAGGAGGUAUUAAAAUUGUGUUUUUGAGAACUUUUAUGCACUUUCCAUAGAUAUUGUUUGAUAGGGAAUACUUAGAUAAUAAAUUUUUAAAUUGAUUAAUUAGUUAAUGGCAAUUAUAUCUCGAAGAUAUUAAACUUAACGAAUUAGUCUAUAUAAAACAUUUUUGGUUAUAUGUCAUAUCACAGUGGUUCUCAUUUUUCGUUAGUACAAAUAACCAUAUAUGCAAAGUAGAGAGAUAGAGAAAAAGAUCAUACACACUAUAAUUUUUAUAAUGGUUUUGUUCUCGCCAACUAACCUGGGUCGGGUUCUGGUGGUGGAUGUUCUCUCACUCUGUCUUUGUUGAUUGUUUGUGACCUUGGAACCAUUGAAGCUCCAACGGAGGAUGCUCCACCUGUUAAUUACACUCCGACGAUCAAUUCAAUGAGAGCACUUAUAUAUUAGAAUGCAAUGUAUAUAGCGUAGGAUCAACUUACCUGGUGGUUAGGGUCUCAUGGUCCUUUUAUACUAGUAGUCAAGCAUUGAUAACUGCAUAAUUUAUCCGUUAAUAUUCUCCCUUAUAUUUUGGGGUUAUAUCUUUGCAGAGUAUCGUCUCUGCCUGUGUCUCUUUUCUUUCCACUCUUCCAAACAACUAAUUGAAUCAGAUAAAAUGUACCUUUGUUGUUUGGACUGUGUUAAUUUUACCAAAAGUGAAUGUUCUUUUGGAGAUACUGGACCUUAUCGUAUUUGGGCCGAUUUCUAGAGUUAUGGUUUGAUCAACAUGUACUGCUUUGACUGAUGGACCAGAGACCCAAAUGUUUGGACUAUGGGCAUAGCAUGCCAUGAUCGGGUUGUAGGUUGAACAUGUCGAACAGUACACAAUCCCCCAGCCUCAAGCCAAGAAGAACGAGGCGAAGAGGCUACAAUGAGACGUAGAGGUGUCGUCAGUGACAAGACAUUUUGCCAGAGGGUAGGUGUCGCACAAGUUUCGAAGCGUUUCUGGAUGAAAUGGCCAUCUUAGAGGCGUACACGUGGCUUAACAUCAACGAUCCUUAUUCCGUGACGUUUUUACUUCCCUUAUACUUUCAAAGAGCAUUCUUUUAUCCCAUUUUUACCUUCGCGCCUUGCUUAAAAGAAAAGUUGUGUCCUAUGCGAUAGUUCCUCGUCAGUUCCUCUGUCACGUUGGUUAUCAGGUAUGUGCAGUCCCCUCCUCGUACUAUUUUUCCUGGGUUUACACUGUGUUUGAGAUUUGUUUCUAGUGUUGCUUAUAUUUUUUAGGUUGGGAUUGUUAUUUGUUUCUGGGUUGAGAUUGAUGUUCUUUCUUUUUAAAGUUGUUCUAUCUAGAUUUUUGGUGUGUUUGUGUGCAAAAAAUUUUCAUAAAUGGAUUAUGCAUCCACCUAUCCCUGGGCCAAAAGGGAAUUGCUUAAGAAAUCUCUGUUUAAAGAUUAAAGAGUUGAGGGAGUCGGGGGUUUAAGUAAGAAAAACGAGAACAUGCUUUCCUCGAUCAACAAAAUCGAGUUGGCUGAAAGCGCAAGGAAAAUAAGGACGACCAAGGAUAACUUAGUGUCGAAAGAGAUUGCCCCGACUAGCGUCGUUCAUGUUCAAUCUGAACAGGAUUAACGUACUGCUUCUGGGUUAGUUUUCAAGAGAAAGAGAUCGGAAGUGUCGAUUACUUCGGAACACUCGCACUCGGAUGGUCAAGCUCCUACCCAGGAUGCUCUGAAAAUCCAAGAAUGCGAAGUUGUUAGAAGCUCGAAAGGGAAGAGCCCGUCGCAUCCAAGUUUGGAUAUCUCGGCCUAUAAUAAAUCAUUCUUCUUACUAGAAGAUGAUAAUGCAAGGCUAAAGAUUUGUGAUGGAGACCGACUCCGCCGUGACGCUGAAAGUUUGCUCGGCCAAGCUACUACACUAGUGUGUUUGGCCAACAUCAAGGUGGAAGUGCGGAAGAAAACUGAAGGUAAAAAAACUCAGCAGAUUGUCGAACUUUAAAAAGAGAAUGAACGCUUUCGAGCCUAGACCGUAGAGAUUGAUCGCUUACACUCGGAGUUGGCUUGCAAGACAAAGGAAGGACUUGUUCUGACCAGAGAGAAAAUCGUUUUAGCUGAUAUGGUUAAUAUUUUGGNNNNN
rnacentral:lncRNA from 1 species